rnacentral:lncRNA from 1 species
UGAACUUCUCGCACGGUUGUUGGCGCUGCAGCAAUGUAAUCAAAUGACGUCAAGAUGAUCAGUCCGUUUACUUUUGCUGCCUGGGAAGAAUUUGAAGUGAACUUCGGUGUCUUCUGUUGCUGGUUGUGUUGGACAGUUUGGUUAGAAUGGAUGCACUUUUGGCCUAUGUGUGCUUGUGCCAAAACUUGAGUUUGUUCGUCCGAGCUACGUUGUGUCUGUAGCCCCAGCAGGGAUUGCUUCACCUAAUGAAUGUAAGGAAGCGGUAUUAGUGCAAUUGCAUGAAGAACAUGAUCGGUUAACUUAUGAGUGUAGAUUUAUGUAGGUACCUAAAUUUUCAGAAGACGAAGAUAUCUAUGUGGUGAUAAGCUGGGCUGAGUCGAUCUUUGGAAGGGCAUUCUAUAUUUCUGUGUUGUGCAGUGCUCGAAGACAAGCCCAUGUCGUUUGCGGGGGUGGUUUCAUAAAUUGUAUCAAGACCGAGAUGCUAGAAUGACUAGUUGUUCUGUAAAACUAGCCAUUAAACUUGAGUAUUGGUGCAGCUACUGCACAACCUCUUUUGAUGACAUUUUGACGUCGCACAAUAGGGGCAAUGUUGAGGAUAUAAACCUUAGAGUCACCCGUCCGGAGGGGCCGGGUUACUCAUAAUGGUCAUCGCGUGAAGCCUGGCGCCAAGCUUGAAGACGGCGGGCCAAAGAUGGGCUUAAGACCCGGAGAUGGCUUAAGGCCCGUAGUUACAACCGCCAUUAUGGUAGAACUUGCAGUGUAAGGCAAGAAUAGUUGAGAGUCCGAGCCGGACACUCUUAUGAGCCGGCCGGGACUCUGAGAGCUGCUGGGCGUCAACCUCUCUAUAUAAAGGGACGACCCGGCGGCGGUUUAGGGACAAGGAAGAUCUCAUCGAGAGCCAGGCAUAGCAAUCAAGCUUCCUGGUCAUCGAAACCAUAAGCAAUACCACCUCAACUGGACGUAGGCUUUUACCUUCACCGUAAGGGGCCGAAUCAGUAUAACCCCCGUGUUCCUUGUCCCGUUUAACCCCUUUAAGCUUCCUAGCUGCGAUGGCUCCACGACUAAGUCCUAACUCGAAGACAUCUGCCGUGACAAUUCUACGACAGUUGGCGCCCAUCGUGGGGCCAGCGCACGGUGGAUUUGAGUUCUUGAAGGGCAGCUUCGAAGGGCUCAAGGGAUACGCUGUGGGCCGGAUGACCAAGAGUCGUCGCGGCAAGCUCUACAUCGACGAUGCAAACUGGGGCCCCGACGCCGGCUCAAUUGAGUACGGGUACCGGGUCCCCUUCGGCGGAAUUCAUGUCUUCAUUGGCAAGAUUGGUGAGCCGGCCCCUGAGCCGGAUUUCUGCGCCGAUCUCAUCGAGACGGCUCAGCGCGCGCGACCCGCCCGGGCCCUACCUGCCUUGAAGCAUGUUUUUGUGGGAUGUGUCCAUGGAGGGCUCUCUGAUGGAUCUGAAUCUGGUGAGGAGACGGCCGCCGGCUCUGACGGCGAGUCGUCCACAGAUGAGUCAAACUCGUUGUAUCAGAUUCAAGAUGGCAGGCUCAGGGGUUGUUCCGAUGGUGACAGUAUUCCGGACCCUUUUGAGCCGCCGAGCCGGGUUGGAAUCUUCAUGGCCGGUGCACAGCCUGUUCAGAACCCGGCCGCGGGGUCAGGAAACCCGGUACCCUCGCCGGCUCAGGUGCUUAUGGAUCUCACGGACAAGAUGACGGCCCUGUUGACCGCCAUGGUUGACCCGGCGGAUCAAGCUCAGCAUGACGCGGAGGUGGCGCGGUUAAAGUUAGAUCUAGUGAAAGCCAAGGAGGAUCUGGCGGCGGAAGGGAUCAGGAUGGCGGCGGAGAGGGCGGCUCUCGACGCCCAGACUCAGUUGAUUCAGGCGCAGUCCUUCCGGCUCACGAUGGAUCAGAACGCGUCCAAUGAGGUCAUGAGAAGGAGGCAUCAAAAGGCCCAAUCUCGACUCCCUCGGGUCUACGAUCCUCGAAACCUCUUCAACACGCCAGGUGCAGGGUCUAGUAACCCGCCGGAGAUCAUAGUGCCCGGGGCUGGAACACCUAUUCAGCCACAGGUGAUGGGGGCUCCCUGGGUGAACCCCGCCCCGCCUCAGUAUGUGCCAAUACCACCGGGUCAUUAUGCUAACCCGCUGGAAAACAUGGUCGCCGUGGCAGCACGGCUGGCGGCUCUUCCAAUUGACGGCGAUUCUCCAACGGCUGUUGAAACCCGCCGGGUCAGAGAACUCCUUCAGACAGCGCUGGCGCAGCAAGAGGCAUACUCUUACAGCCGGGACAGGAUCCACUCAACCCCUCGUCCAGGCCGGAGCCCGAGUUAUAGCAGACACAUGGUCUCAGCGACCGGCUCAAGUAAUGUCCGACGCCAUGACUUGCCCCCUGGCCAUGGCCCGGCUCAUAACGGGGCCUUUCACGCAACAGACCAAGACAUAGCGCGGCAAGAGGCGGAGCAGGUGCCUCAGUUGACGGCUUACCAGACACCCCCGGCUUAUCUGACGACUUCCGUCGACGUGGGUAUCUCUACGAGGACUGGAGGUGUCCCUUGUUUAGUGCCAGCUCUCCGCAAUGAGCGUCUACCCAAGGAUUUCAAAGGGCCUAGGAAGGUGCCUAAUUACACGGCUGAUUUACAACCCGGAGCUUGGAUCGAGAGUUACGAGAUGGCCAUGGAAUUGCUGGAGGUCAGUGAAGCGGCGAUGGCCAAGUACUUCACCAUGAUGUUAGAUGGGACUGCCCGCACUUGGUUGAAAGGGCUACCACCGAAUUCCAUCGGGUCUUGGGCUGAGCUGAAAGCCCGUUUCAUCCAAAACUUCAAGGAUACAUGUAGGCAGUCCAUGUCAAUUGUGGAUUUGACUAACUGUAAACAGCAGGAGGGUGAGUCUACGACACAUUGGGUUCGCCGGGUCAAAGAGAUCAUACAUUCAUCUAAUAAGAUGGAUGCCGGCUCUGCAGUCUUAAUGUUGGAGCAGAAUUGUCGUUUCCUGCCCCUGAAGAUGAAACUCGGGCGGCUUAAGCGCGACUGCAAUGAUAUGGGUACGCUAAUGGCGGCUCUCGUCAAGUACGCCGACUCUGAUAGUACCAAGGACCCCGCUUCAGAUGAUGAAAGGACAGGGAAGGGAAAGAAGAACGGCAAUGGCAAGGGUCCUCAGCAUAACCCGGGGAACCAAGGAGGUGGCAAGCGUAAGGCCGACGGCAGCCUAGAGUUCGUGGCCAACGCCAGCUCACAGGGUAAUAACCAGCGACGCAAGGGGAGGCCACCUCCCUGAGCCGGCGGGUCAGGCCCGACGCUGGAGCAGUUGUUGAAUGAGCCUUGUCCAAGGCAUGGCUCUAGGGAGGAGCCAACUACUCAUCUAUGGAAGGAUUGCGCAAUCAUGAAGGCCUUUAAGAAUUCCAAUGCCUUUAAUGGCAACAAUGGCCCGGGCGGCGGCUCAGGCGCUGGCGGUUUUCAUGGCCCGGGUGGCGGCUCAAAUCCUAAUCCUCAGAACGGUCAAGGGGGCUUUAAUCAGCAGUCUGGCCAGGGUCAUCAACAGCAGCAGGGGGUUAUCAGACCAAUCCAAAGCAGCUUAACGGUGGACAGUAUCACGUAUUUACCACCAGUCUGUGUAAGCGAGAUCAGAAGCUUCAUAAGAGGGCUGUGAAUGCUGUUGAGCCGGCGGUUCCACGCUAUUUAAGAUGGUCUGAGCAGCCUAUUGUGUGGAGUAGGGAGGAUCACCCUCCCCGGGUUGAUAAUCCGGGUCACUUGGCCCUGGUGGUGGCCCCUCAGGUGGGAGGAUAUAAGUUCACUAAGGUGCUCAUGGAUGGAGGCAGCAGCAUCAACAUCCUCUAUUAUGAGACUUUUCGUCGUAUGGGGUUGAUUGAUAAGAACCUCAGCCAGUCCAAUACUAUUUUCCAUGGUGUGGUGCCUGGUAAGUCGGCUUACCCAGUUGGUAAGAUCGAGUUGGAAGUGGCCUUUGGGGACGAGUACAACUACAGGGUGGAAAAAUUGACCUUUGAAGUGGUCAAGAUAAGAAGUCCGUAUCAUGCCAUAUUUGGGCGGCCGUCUUACGCCAAGUUCAUGGCACAGCCGUGUUACGUGUAUUUGCAGCUUAAGAUGCCGGGUCAUAAUGGGAUCAUCACGGUUCAUGGCAGCCGGAAAGUGGCUUUGGAGUGUGAGGAAGGCGAUGCGGCGUAUGCAGAAUCUGUUUGUGCAACAGAAGAGUUGAAAUUUUACAAGGACAAUGUCGACCCAACAGAUAUGACCUCUCUGAAAAAGCCGACUACGGAGCAUGAGCCGGCAAUGAAAUUUAAGUCGGCUGAUGAGACUAAACUUGUUGAUUUUGUUCCAGGUGACUCAUCUCAGCAGUUUAGCAUCAGUGCCAAUUUGGAUCCGAAAUAGGAAAGCGCGCUCAUCGAGUUCAUCCAUGAGAACAGGGACAUCUUUGCAUGGAAGCCUUCUGACAUGCCAGGUGUACCUAGAGAACUCGCUGAGCACACUCUCAAUGUUGAUCCGAAAUUUAAGCCGGUCAGGCAAUUCCUUCGGCGGUUUAAUGAAGAGAGGCGGAAAGCCAUCGGUGAAGAGGUGGCCCGGCUCUUGGCGGCCGGGUUUAUUGUUGAAGUCUUUCACCCAGAGUGGUUAGCUAACCCGGUGCUCGUGCUCAAGAAGAAUGGCACCUGGCGGAUGUGUGUGGACUACACGGACUUAAACAAAGCAUGUCCGGCUGAUCCUUUUGCCCUUCCCCGUAUUGAUCAAAUCAUUGAUGCUACGGCGGGUUGCGAGCGCUUAAGUUUCUUGGAUGCUUAUUCUGGAUACCAUCAGAUUAAAAUGGCAGUUAAGGACCAGGAGAAGACGGCGUUCAUCACUCCCUUUGGAGCCUUCUGUUAUGUGUCUAUGCCUUUUGGACUCAAGAGUGCUUAGGCGACUUAUCAGCGUUGCGUGCAGAACUGUCUUCAUAACCAGAUUGGGCGCAAUGUUCAUGCCUAUGUGGAUGAUAUUGUGGUUAAGUCCAGGGAGAAGGAAACCUUGAUAGAUGAUCUGAGGGAAACCUUUGAUAAUCUCUGGGUCUACAAAAUGAUGCUUAACCCGGCCAGGUGUGUUUUUGGUGUUCCUGCAGGCAAGCUCUUGGGUUUCUUGGUUUCCAACAGAGGCAUUGAAGCUAACCCGGAGAAGAUCAAGGCAAUCACCUCUCUGGCUAAGCCGGCGUGUAUAAACGACGUCCAGCGCCUGGCGGGUCGCAUUGCUGCUUUAAGCCAGUUUAUAAGCCGUUUGGGUGAGAAGGCCAUGCCAUUGUACCAGUUGAUGAAGAAAACUGAUGACUUUGUCUGGAAUGAUGCUGCUAAUACUGCUUUUGAGGAUUUGAAGAGACAGCUGGCUGAGCCCCCAGUCCUCGCUGCUCCGGUUGACAAGGAGCCCUUAUUACUGUAUGUAGCUGCUAACACACGAGCCGUCAGUGUGGCUGUGGUGGUGGAGCGCAAGGAAGAGGGUAAAGAGUAUCCGGUUCAGCGGCCGGUUUACUACGUCAGCGAAGUGCUCAUCGAGUCCAAACAGCGAUAUCCACAUUGGCAGAAGCUUGUUUAUGGUGUGUUCAUGGCAAGCCGGAAGCUUAAGCAUUAUUUCCAAGGUCACCCUAUCACUGUGGUCAGUUCCGCUCCCCUUGGAGAUAUCAUCCAAAACAGAUAAGCCACAGGAAGAGUGGCUAAGUGGGCUAUAGAGCUCGGGCCUCAUGGUCUGAAAUACGUACCAUGCACUGCUGUUAAAUCUCAAGCCUUGGUGGAUUUCAUCAACGAUUGGACGGAGCUACAAGUGCCCGAAGAAAAGCCGGAUAACACAUAUUGGACUAUUCACUUCGACGGGUCCAGGCAAUUGGAGGGCUCGGGGGCUGGAGUUGUAUUAUCUUCCCCUAAAUGUAACAAGUUUCAUUAUGUGCUACGAUUGAUGUUUCCUUGCACUAACAAUGCGGCUGAGUACGAGGCCUUGCUCCAUGGUCUUCGGAUGGCUAAGGAGAUGAGCUUGAGCCGGGUAAGGUGCUUCGGCGACUCAGACUUAGUGGCUCAACAAGUAUCAGGCAAGUGGGAUUCCAAGGACCCUCUCAUGGCGGCUUAUCGCCGUGAAGUUGAUGCCAUUGCUGGACACUUUCAGGGUUACCAAGUAGAGCACAUCGAUCGCAGGAAGAACGAGGCGGCUGAUGCAUUAAGCCGGCUGGGCUCUCAGCGAAAGCCGGUGCCGCCUAAUACUUUCCUGGACAUCUUGCAUAACCCUUCUGUUAAGGUACCUACAGAGGAAGAUUUGGCUGUCCCUGACCCGGAGGCAAAGUUGGUGGCGGCUCUCCACAUCACCCCGGACUGGACGGUACCUUACUUGGCUUACAUGACCCGGGGAGAGUUGCCUGAGGAUGAAACUUUGGCCAGACAAAUAACCCGGCAGUCUAAGUCAAUGGUUGUUAUCGAUGGUGAGCUGCAUCGCCGUAGUGUUAUGGGAGCGUUCCAGCGUUGUGUCUCCCCUGAGGAAGGUCAAGAAAUCUUGCGUGAGAUUCACGAAGGGGAUUGCGGCCAUCAUGCCGGCUCAAAAUCCCUUGUGGCCAAAGCUUUCCAUCAUGGCUUUUAUUGGCUGACGGCUCAUGCUGAUGCGGAGGACUUGGUCAGUAAAUGUGACGGUUGCCAGAGGUUCUCAUGACGGGCUCAUGUGCCGGCUCAAGAGCUGCGGAUGAUACCAAUCACUUGGCCAUUUACGGUCUGGGGGCUCGAUAUGGUUGGGCCAUUUAAAAGGUCCAAGGACAAGAAGACCCACCUCUUGGUGGCAGUUGACAAAUUCACAAAGUGGGUUGAAGCAGAGCCAGUUAGCAAGUGUGACGCAGCCACGACGGUUCAGUUCAUAAAAAGGGUGAUCUUUCACUUUGGUUUUCCACACAGCAUUAUAACUGACAAUGGUACCAAUCUGUCCAAGGGCGCCAUGGAGGAGUUCUGUCAACGAGAGCAUAUUCGACUUGAUGUUUCAUCAAUGGCUCACCCUCAAUCCAAUGGUCAAGCUGAGAGAGCUAAUCAGGAGAUUCUGAAAGGCAUCAAGCCCCGGCUUUUGGUCCCUUUGCAACGGACGCCGGGUUGUUGGGUGGAGGAGUUACCCUCCGUGUUAUGGAGCAUCAAUACUACUCCUAACAGGUCUACGGGUUACACGCUUUUCUUCAUGGUUUAUGGAGCGGAAGCAGUCCUCCCCAGUGACAUCCGUCAUGACUCGCCUCGAGUGGCGGCUUAUGUUGAGGCGGAUAAUGAACAGGCGCGCCAAGAUGCUCUUGACUUGUUGGACGAACAGCGUGAUGUGGCAGCAGCUCGCUCAGCGAUUUACCAACAACACCUGCGCCGUUAUCACAGUCGCCGGGUUAAGUCUCGGGUCUUCCAGGAAGGUGAUCUGGUGCUCCGGCUCAUCCAAGAUCAAACAGAUGCGCACAAACUAUCCCCGCCUUGGGAAGGACCCUUUGUGGUCAGCAAGAACUUGCACAACGGGUCAUAUUACCUCAUUGACAUUCGGGAGCACAAAGAUUCACGCAAGUCGGAGGAGGAGACCCGUCGACCGUGGAACAUAGCUCAGCUUCGGCCUUAUUACACUUGAGCCACCGGCUCUCAUAAUGUACAUAUUUCUAUAAGCCAUGUAUAUAUUAUGAUAAGCAAUAAAGCAGGACCUCUGUCCUUUUUUCUCCUCCAAAGGUAAAUGUGUUGUUUCCAUUACAAGAUCACAUGGUAACUUGAAGGAGGAUCCGGCUUAUGAUCGUAUUCGAAUCUAGCCGUACGCAAUAUAAUCACUUGGGGGCUUCCUGUUCAAACAUAGGUCGUAUUCGAACCAAAGAGAACAUAGCUGUCGAUACCCAUUUGAUUGGCAAAGUGCCGAGCUCAUUAGGGAGUUUUCUUUGAUCAUAUUUGAAUCAUAGCUCAACCCCCUUUGGGAACCGACAUGGAUCGUAUUCGAAUCAGCGUCGUUAAACAACUCUUAAGAUCAUUUGGGGGCUUCCUGUUCAAACAUGGGUCGUAUUCGAACCAAAGAGAACAUAGCUGUCGGUACCCUCCUGAUCGGCAUCGCCAAACCCACUGGGGGCUAUAUGAUCGCAUUCGAAUCUUAGCUUAACCCCUUUGGGACGGGUCUCUGGUCGUAUUCGAACCGGAAGCCCCUAAGUUUUGAUUUUCUGAUUUUCAACAAGUUCUUCUGGUUGUAUCAACAGUGUACACGGCGGUUCUUAUUCCGCCGGCUUAACUUUGAUUCACAGUGCUAGUCGCACACAAUCAGCAUUAUCAAGACUGGUAAACCGGAGUUGAGGUACCAACCUUAUUAUCCGGGUUAUAUAAACCGGAAGUGUACUUGAAGGCCUGUAAGUGUGUUAUUACGGUUAUAUCAAGGACAUAAUUGAGGACCAGUCUUUCGUGACUUAGAUUCAUAUUCCAGGUUAUAUGUAUGAGACUAUGAUUCUCAGUGCGGUAAGCCGCCUAGAGACUUGUGAUUUGUUUUUCUAUGCAGGAUAGUUAAAGACAGCUAUUUGAGCUUAAGGAAAAUGAAUGAUCAAUUAUGACCCGGAAGAAUAUAAGGAAGCAACUUCAAUGGAAUUAAGCAUUCAACACGUGCACGAUGGCACGACGAAGUUAAAAUGUUGGUCCUAUUCUAUUACAAGACUCCCCGAGUCCAAAAGGGUGAAGCAUUGUUUAAUAAGCCGCCUAAAGAGUCAGGAUGCUUGCCGGGUCGAAGCUUCCGGCUCAUCCCUCUCCGCUCCUCCGGCUGUUCCCAAGACCUGGAAGGUUGACGAUUUCCAGUCAAUGCCGCUCAAAGCUUCAAAUUGAGCUUCCUCGUCAAUUAACCCGGCCGGGUCAAUUUCCGGGGCAAAGGUGUGCUUACGAGUCGGCGGGACUAAGCUGAUGGCUUCAUAACGCGAAGUGGGGAUCCUCUGAUUCUCUGCAUCGUAGCCCGGCUGGUACUUGGUCAGAUCAGUGUCAUUCCCAAUCAGGGUGGCCACCGGGCGCACGAUCUUCACACAGGCAGCAAAGUCCUUUUGGUCGAAGGGGGUGCCGUCUUCCUUCAAGCUGGGGUAACCAAGUGCAAUGUCAGCCGGGUCUAGCUCUGGAAGGAAAGCCUUGGCCCGGCUCAGAGCAGCUAUGGCUCCGGCUCUUGCAGAGGCCCGUCACAGCUCUUGGACACGCUGAGGAAGAACGGCAAGCCGGCGAAGUACUUCCGCCAGGUGAGUCGGAACCUCAUUGGAUAGGGCCACCACGGCCAAAGCGCGCUGUGACCCGGUGUAGAGUUGCUCCACCAGGGUGUACACGGCCUUCAGCUUGGUCAGCAUGUUCUGAUUGAGGUUGGCGAUUCUGGGACCUGUUUAACAAAGUAAGAUAAGCCGUUCUCAAUGAUGGGAGUUAUGAGACAUAAACACCGUAAACUUGUUCAAAGCCUGCAGAAGGACUUACCGAAGAUUGCGGCAACCAUUUGUGACACAUGGCGUUUUAAGCCGGAGAGUUCGGCGGUUCUCUCCGUCAGAGCCUUCUCCGCCUGUUCGGCCCGGCUUACCAGAGCAGCCUUCUCUUCGGCCCAAGUCUUCCUUUCAGCUUCAAACUUCUUCUUCAGCUUCUCUUGAGCAGCAAUGCUGGAUUCAAAUUUGGCGUUGGCCUUCCGGGUCUCAGUUUCCUGAGUCUUCAGGCGGUUCUUCAGCUCUGAGAUAUCAGCCUCAAAUUUCUUGCAAGCAGCCUGCAUAAUUUCCGGGUUAUAGUAUGAACAGUUAUUAUGCAACUUUAAAGUCCCAAGCACUUUCCAAGCAAAGACACUUGGCAUUUGGGGGCUAAUGCAUGUCGAAAGUUUCUAUCUACAAAAUUACCGGUUCAUGAAAGUAAGCCAGAAAUUAAGUCUACAACCUAUUCUAUCAUAAGUAGUAGACUUGGGGGCUAGUAUGGUAAAGAUGACUGUGCGGUAGGCAAUAGGGUGGUACCUCAGACUUCUGUUGUAUCUGCUUCACCAUAUCAAUCUCCAAGUCCCGGCUGCUGUGCACCUGAUUGACAUAGCCGGAGAUGAUCUCUCCAAUGCUCAAGUCAGCAUAGUUGGUGAUGUCUAGCUUGGCCCUGCGGCGCUCUAGCAACUCUUCCUUGGCAGAGCACUUAGCCAGCGCAGUGGGUCUCCCCGGCUCGACAAACUCCGUCCGGGUAAUUACCACGUCCGGGUCAUCGGCCGGCUGAGCCGGGUUGGAGAUUUCCGGGUUAGCAGAAGUCUCUGUGAUUGGCUCGUCGGUUGGAGCGGUGGCUUCAGGAGCAGAGGCAGCUGGCGGCUCUUGAGCUGAAACCUCCGGCUCAGUCACGGCCGGCUCUUCGACUGGCUUAUUCUUCUUUGCUCUUUUACUGAGCUUUGCUUGAGCACUGAAAGGACACAAGGUUAGUACAAAAGUAUGAGUAAAGAUAAGCACAACAAGAGAUGAUCAUCAUUACCCGGGUACGGUCUUGAAAGCCGGCAGAUUCGAUUGCAUCGAGUCACCAGAGGAAGGUGAAGUUUCCUGAUAAUUUGAAUCAGAAGAAUUGAGCGGUUGACGUAUAACUCCCGCCAAAGGAUGAAAAGGAUAUAAGUUGGAGAUAACCUCGGUCCGGCGCUUCCUUGACGCUUCAGGUAAGCCGGAGGAGAGGUCUGCAUCCUUGUUGGUCCGGGUGUGCCGCCGGCUCUCAUGAAUCUGUUGCUUCAAAAGAAAUUGAGGAUCUUGAUAAGCUAAAGGAUGUGAAAAUCUUACUUUCCGGGUUACUCUUCGGACUUUCAGUCUUGGCAAGGGCUCCGAGUCGGAGGAAAGUGUCAUUACCUCUUCAGUCACCGGGUUACUUGCUCCGGUGUCAUCCUGCUGAUGAUCGGUAUCAAUAAGGUGGACAGGAAUAAACAAGAAAUACAACAAGAGCUUACAGGUUCAGCGGUUACCUCUGACUCGGAGCUGUCACUUAGUUGAAGCAGCUCUGAGGCAGUAGGCCUGCUUCCCUUCUUGCGGGGAGCGGCUCUCCUGGCGGCUUUCUUAGCUUUUCUGGCUUUUUUAGCCGCCUCAUGGUCAUACUUGACCUUCCAGAAUUUAUCAUCAUCCUGAAAAAUACAAUGAAGCCUUCUUAAGGUUCAGAUGAAAACUAUCUAAGGAGAAAAUAAGAUGUUCAGAUCAGCGACUUACCGCUGGGGCCGGGUUGGUCUUGCAGAAGGGGUUUAAGCCGGUCCUCCCGCAGUCUGCCAAGCUCUCAUUCAAGAGGGCCUUGGUCAUGUCGUCAACAACGUCUUCCGGAAGAUCGUUGUGGCUGUGUCGCAGGGGGUCAUCUUUCCGGCCCGUGUAAUCACACAUUAAGCCGGGGCGGCGGCUCAAGGGGAUCACCCGCCACGAGAUCCAGACCCGGACCAGAUCAAUGCCGUUGAGGCCAUUUCCCAGGAGAGCCUUAAUUUUGUUGAUGGUGGGGAUCAGAGGUUGGCGCUCGGCUUGAGUCAGCUUAUCCGGCAGAGAGUGAUUUGGCUCCAGACGCAGGGCACGAAAGCCGGGCAGCGGGCUCUCGUCAGCCGGAGAAGUGUCCUGACAAUAAAACCACGUCUGGUUCCAAUCCUUCGGAUGGCUUGGCGGCUCAGCAUAAGGAAAGAGGCAGUCUCUCCGGCGUUGAAUGGAGAUUCCACCAAGUGCCAGGCUCGGCCCGUUGGCACACUCGUUUUGACGGUUCAGAUAAAAAAGCUCUCUGAAGAGCAGCAGGCUGGGCUCUUCUCCAAGAUAGACUUCGCAGAAUACUUGGAAGUUGCAUAUAUUUGACACAGAGUUGGGUCCUAUGUCUUGUGGCCGCAGAUCAAAGAAAUUCAGCACAUCUCUAAAGAAUUUUGAGCCGGGCGGUGCGAAGCCCCGGCUCAUGUGAUCAGCAAAAAUCACUACCUCACCCUCCCUUGGUUGCAGUCUCUCCUCUGACGGGUCAGGGGCACGGUAAGACAUGACAUCCUUCUUGGGCAGGUAACCCGUCUUUACAAAUUCAGCUAAGGUAUCGUUGGUGACGUUGGACCUCAUCCAGUUGCACGUAAUGGGUGCUUUGGGAGCUUUGGGAGGCAUUGUGAAAGAGGAAGCCUAUGACAAAAGGAACAUGUCCGGUUCAAUUAUAAGCCGGCAGAUGUUUACAGUUUAAAUACUCAAAUGGCGGCUUAUGAGAGGGGCCUAAUGACAUAUGGUUAAGUACAUCGGGUUAUCUAAGCCGCUGCAAGUAUCGUGAGCAAUUCAAAUUGUCUACGGCUUUAUCAUAAAUGAGCCGGAAAAUUCAUGGCGCAUGGCUUCUUUUGAGCCGGAAACAUAAGCCGCCAUAGCUCAGCAGAGGCAAUUUUUUACUAAGUCUGGUGAAAACAAGUUUCACAGAUCGCAGUAAAUAUUUUGGAUCAAACGGUUGGCUAAAGAGAAAAAAUUUCUAGACCUAGAACUGACGCAGAAGAAGUCCAUGGAUUCAGAAUGGGAUCUUCUUUCAAACAAAGGGGAUCUACUAGUGUUAAAAUGGAUGAGCAACAACUACCGCAGGAGUUCUGUGCUAAUCUUGGAUCGAAACGUAGCCAUAGUGGCAGAACUACAGGGAACUUGCGAAGAACUUACGAAGAACAGCGAAGAACGGCGAAGAACAGUGGAACCCUAAUGUGGAUCUACGGUGGAGAGGUGCAGGGACUUACAGGUGCGGAGUUACGGCGGAGAUCCGUCGCGUUUCUCUGGUCAAGUCAGGGUGAUGCAGCGGCCUGAGUUGGUGAAGAUGAAGAAACCCGCGGCGGCGGCGGCGACGGAGCUCGGGCGGAAGCACAGUGGCGAGAGGAAGAAGAAGAUGGAGGCGACAAGUGGCACGAGGCUCAUGGGCCGGGCUACUUAUAAGGGGAAGCUCAUAAGUGGGCGCGAGAAACGAGGAGGCCACGGCGUGGUUAUCUCGCCAUAAAAACGCCUCGAUUUUCGGGACGGCAAUUAAAGAUAAGAUCCGUUGCGGAUAUGGUGGAGUAAAAAAUGGACUUAAUGGAAGAUGACGUCACGGCGGGUUACCCGGAAUCCAGAAGAUGACGUCACGAUGGGUUAUAACCUUUACACAAUUGUAAGCCGGAGAUUUUCUAUCGAAAGGAUUGAAGAUUGACAUGAGCCGGCUCAAAUCAAUCUGGGGCCUAAUGUUGAGGAUAUAAACCUUAGAGUCACCCGCCCGGAGGGGCCGGGUUACUCAUAAUGGUCAUCGCGUGAAGCCCGGCGCCAAGCUUGAAGACGGCGGGCCAAAGAUGGGCUUAAGACCCGGAGAUGGCUUAAGGCCCGUAGUUACAACCGCCAUUAUGGUAGAACUUGCAGUGUAAGGCAAGAAUAGUUGAGAGUCCGAGCCGGACACUCUUAUGAGCCGGCCGGGACUCUGAGAGCUGCUGGGCGUCAACCUCUCUAUAUAAAGGGACGACCCGGCGGCGGUUUAGGGACAAGGAAGAUCUCAUCGAGAGCCAGGCAUAGCAAUCAAGCUCCCUGGUCAUCGAAACCAUAAGCAAUACCACCUCAACUGGACGUAGGCUUUUACCUUCACCGUAAGGGGCCGAACCAGUAUAACCCCGUGUUCCUUGUCCCGUUUAACCCCUUUAAGCUUCCUAGCUGCGAUGGCUCCACGACUAAGUCCUAACUCGAGGACAUCUGCCGUGACAAUUCCACGACAGGCAAUGUUUAUCGCCAGCCAUGGCAUUAGAGUUGGAGUAUAGACUGGGUGUUUAUCGCCAGCCAUGGCAUUAGAGUUGGAGUAUAGACUGGGUGCGGCAGCGUGUCAGGGGGGAAGGAAAAACUGAGUUCCCGUUGAAGAAUGGUUUAAUCACCACCAUAUUCUUUGUAUUUAACCUAUAACCAUAUUCUUUUGUACCAUGACAAAUAAUCGGAGUGUUUGAGUACACAAGGCACAAUAUGUGUUUUGCUACUGGUUUGGAGUUCCAUCUUUGUGUUCUUUGUAUUUGUAAUGCAGAGCUGACAAAUACCGAAAUGACAUAGAGAAAACAUGUCAAGUACUAUAAGUUAAAUCCACAGCUUGAAAACAAAGCAAGACAAAAAUCUGAUGCCGAUAAUAGAUUAAAUUCAUGUCCUAAAUAUGGAACCUUGGCCUUUCAGUCUUAUUGUCUUACUCUGAUCACGAAGUUGAAUGCUGCUGUUAGAGGUAGGUCUGCUACAGGCUCAAUUGUUGCAGCGAUCAAAUCGCUGGCUAGUAGCUUUUCUUCUGUUUCUUUUGUUCAUGUAAGCCAUAGUGCUAAUGAGGUGGCUCAUAUGUUUGGCUAGAUCGAGUGAACGCUCCUCAUUCGGUGUAUCGCCGUUGUAUCCCUAGUGGCCUAGUUGUAUGCAUAAACUUGUAAACUUUGAAUGUUUGUGUGAAUAAUUAGCCAUCUUUGAUAAAAUAAAAUAUGGACAAGCUACCAUCCGUAUCCAAAUGCGCGUUCCUAUUUUUCUUUUUGAGUAUUUAUAGAAUUUAGAUUUAAAUUUUCUGAGAUGGCAGCCACACGCUGUUGUACGAUUUAGAUGAAUUUCGACUUUUAUGAGAUCAUCCCAAAAGGGCAGCUAAUAUUUCUCACCAAGUUAUGAAAUUUUGUGUUGGUUUCGCUAUUUCCUCUAGCAGCUGAUAAAUAACCUUUCUAGGAGUUAACUGAGAAAUGCUCUCUCCGUUUCAUAAUAUAAGAGCGUUUUUGGCACUAGUAGGGAAUAUCAAAUAACAAUUAUCUCUAAGUCUGAUGAGCCACACUCACUUUGUUCUGGUACUCACAUUCAGACACUUGUCGGGUUUCCCCCUUUUCCGAAAAAAGGAAAAAAAAUCACACACAUUUUUUUAGGAACAAAAAUAAAUCACACGCAUGAGUAUACUUAACACGAAUAUAUUUUUGGGAAACGUUUGGGGCCGGGGCACCGGCCGAAGCUUCGGCCGGUCCAGUCCACGCGCGCACGCCGCGACCCAGUCGCGAGCAACCACGUGGCGCUGCGGAUCUCGCGAAUCUCGCCUCAUUCCUGUCUCGCAGCUCCGCGGAUCUCGCCCCCAUCCUCAUCUCCUGCAGCGCCGGCGCCCACAUCUCGCCGUCGGUCAUGGAAGGUCGAAUCCCCCGCGCGUCCAUGGAUGUAGAUCUCACCCCGCCAUGCUUUACAGCCCGUUUCGCCAUUGGAUGCAGCCAGUUGACCAAUCCCCAUCCCCGGCGGUUGCAACUCCCACACGUCUCGUGCUUCUGCCUCGCCGACGACGAGCCGGGCGGCGAUGGUCGACACCGGAGGCUUCUGCAGAAUCGUCGCACCCCCAUCAUGUUGCAACCGUUUAAAAAAAAGCUUCAUCCCCCUAGAUGAAAAGCUUCAACCGGAUGUAGAGAAAGCUACAAGCGCUCAGCGCCAUCGCCAGAAAGCUACAACCGUUGACAUGAAAUGCUACAUCCUUCGAUUAAAAAAGCUUCAACCGAAACGACACAAAAAGCCUUGACCAAGUGCUGCUAAAAAGAAAAUAGCUACAACUUUUGGUAGAAAAGCUUCAACGGUUGUUGGAAAAAGCUGCAACCAUUGAGAGAGAAAGCUACAACUAGACACUAUGAAAAUAAGAAAGCUUCAACCAGCGACGGUUGGAGGUGGAAGAAGAUGAUAAAAUGCUGCAGUUUUGCUACAUGCUUCAACCGGCAUAGAUUUUUGCUACAACUGGCAUAGCAUUUUGCUACAACUAGCGUCACGUUUUGCUACAACACACAGCCGGCGUCGCGGUUUUGCUACAACUAGCAUCGUUUUUUGCUACAACCGGCAUAAUGUUUUGCUACAUCCAUCACGGCGAGCUGCGACCCAGCACGGGUUUCUGUGAAUUCCGGCGGCGAGAUCCAGCACGGGGGGCAGGGGCGGAUGCUGCAACCGGUCGCCGGCGAGCUGCUACGGGCUCGCGGCGAGCUGCAACCUCGACCGGCCGUAACGGAGCUCGAGCCCAAAUCCAUGGCGGCAAGGAGGUCAUGACGUAUGUAAGACAUGAUUGAAGCAAUCCCAAGGCGGCUUGAUAGGUGAGGGAGCCCCUCGUCGACGUGAUUCGGACGCGGGGAACGAAUAACAGGCGGAUCUAGCCGCCGCCGCCGCGGAUCGAGGACGGGCAGUCGCGGGGGGAUCCAGCUCCCCUGUUUUCCUUGCUGUGGCUGUUCGUACACGGUCGCAACAAAACUGUUCUUUUUUGCUGCAACGGUUGCUUAAGUCCGUGUAUGCGCGCAGAUCUAACGACCGCAUCGGACGGCUGGGCCUCGACCGGCCCAACUGUUGGGUCGGUGCGCCGGCGCAGAUCGCUGCCCUAUAUUUUUUCCCUAGUGGAACAGGAGUUUCUUAAGGCCCAUGGAUAAUCCUUGUUUUUGUUUUACCAUUUUCUGCUUAGAUAGGAUUUACCAUUUCUAAUUCUUUCUACUUUUUUUCUACAGUAGUUUCUUUAGGAUUAUCUGUUAUAGUUUUGCCUUGGCUAUUGCAUCUUUUUUUAGCAACAUUUUUUUUAGAAACACCAGUAAUUUUAUUUAUACUCAUAACGAUUACAGGUGUACUGAUUUAGAUUUAAAAUACAAAAAAUAUAAAGUAACUCCUAUGACCAAAAAUCACAAUGAAAUCUUUUGGAAACAUCAAUUUUUGUUAGAAGAAAUACUCCAAACACUUCGGUAAACAGGCUGCAAUUGGACCGAGAGGAGCAGUCAGCCCAUUCCCAUAGCCACACGAGCUCUCUCUCUCUCUCAAGAAGACCUAGACGCGGCAGCUCAAAAAACAAAAAGACUAGCUAGACGCGGCGGCGCCCCAGUCGAGCUCCACUGCCAAAUGCGCCCCCCAAAUCCCUCGACAAAAUCCCCAAUCCUCAUGGCGCCGAGCCUGCCUCCGCCGCGACGCCGCCGCCGCCGGACGCCGUCGGUGGUCGACAACGCCAUGCGCCAGAUCUUCCUGCGCCUACCGGCGGACGACCCCGGGAGCCUCGUCCGCGCCGCCGCCGUCUGCAGGCGCUGGUGCCGCAUCCUCUCCGACGCCGCCUUCGCCCGCGACUACCGCGCGUUCCGGCGGGCGCCGCCCAUGCUGGGCUUCCUCCACAACGAACGCCACCGGGAGUACAAACGAGUCAGCUAUUGGAUCUCCCACUUCGUCUCCACCGCCACCUUCAGCCCGCCGGCGUUCAAGGACCUCGAGGACCACCAAGUUCUCGACUCCCGGCACGGCCUCGUCCUCCUCCACGAAACGGGUGACGACUUUGUUGUCUACGACCUCGUCACCCACGACGACUGGGAAGUUCACGCAGACCCCAAGUGCCACGGCAUCAUGUGGUGGGAGGGCGACGAUCCUGCGUACAAGGGCAUACGCUGUAAUGCGGCAGUGCUUUGUGACAAGGACCUAUGUGACCACCUCGACUGCCAUGGCGGUCCUUUCCUCGUGGCCUUGGUGGGCUCCAACAAUGCAGAAGGUUCAAUGGCCCUCGCUACCGUCUACUCAUCAAAGACUGGUGAGUGGAGCGACAUGAUCUCUGUUCAUGUCCAUGAACCGGAUUUAAUCUAUGACAGGGCGCACAGUGCUGUUGUGGCCAAUAAGGUCUAUGUCCCCUGUGUGGAGAGUACCUCUGUCUUGGAGUACAACAUUGGUGAGCAAGAACUAUCAGUGAUCAGUGUGCCAUAUGAGGACCAGGACGAGAGCCAGCGUUACGUCUACCUCAUGGGGGUGGAGGACGGUAUGCUGCUGUUUGCGUCUGUGAUGAAGCAUAGACUCUAUCUAUGGUCAAUGGAGGCUGGUCCCAGCGGAGCUGCAGGAUGGGCGCGGCGCAGGUUCAUCGAGCUCAAACCAUUCUGCAGGAUGGACUCCCUCGUUCUGUCCUCCUGGACGAUUCGACUGUGUCAGCGGUUGGUUUUGCGGAAGGUGUUGGUGUCAUCUUCGUGAGUACACAAUCUGGGUUGUACACAAUUGAGCUCAGUUCAAGACGAUGCAACCAGGUAAAUGUAGAGGGACACAUCGAAAAGGCCAUGCCCUACAUGAGCUUCUACAUUGGAGGUACAGACUAGCAAACACUGAACACACCACUUACUUAGAUUACAGUGUUUAUGCUUGUAGCUUAGAUUGUUGAAUAAUUUAAGUCUGAGAGCUCCCAAUGCUGUAUGUGAUUCCUAAACGUUGAUGCGUAUGUACAGUCUUUUCUUUCAAUUUUUCUGCAUAACUAGAUGGAUAUCUGUAUGUAGGCCUGCUCGGGUUUUUUUCUUCCGGUUUCUGGGUGAUCUGUAGAGAUGUAGGAACCCAUCCUUUGUGCGGCUAUACUAUUCAGGUGUUGAGGCGUGCUGCAGACCUGGGUGAUUGUAGGCAACAGUAGCUCGUGAUUUUUCAUUCCAUGUUGUCUUUUUUUUUAAACAAGUGUUGUCUUUGUGUUGAACUGUUGAUACAAGCCAGAGAAAAAGAUACAGUAGCUGUAAGGAAUUGGCAGAUUAACUAGCAGCUGACCAGCAAAUUUCACGGUGAAUGUAUAGUUGGUGAUUUAUGAUUCGUUGGCUGCAGUAGUAUAUAUGUUGCAUUGUUUCGGCUUUACAAGUCGGUUAACCUUAGUCAAAGAUUUGCUCAUCAGGUCCCAAGGGCAACUCUAGCACAGUCGUCAUAUCCACCCAAACUGCAUAAUAACUGCCAUAUGGAGCACGGACCACAAAAAAACAGUUCUAAUAGAGUAGCCAUUCACCACUCAAUCGGCUUAUUUUUGGGAGCUCCCUCCAUAAAAUGGCCGCCCAGCUUCCAUAUUUGGAUGCCAUGGAGGCCUCGUUCAGAGCUCGCUCCAAAUCCAACUACCAGCGGGGGAGGGAAGUUUCAUCUUCUUCCUCCUUGCACCCCCGCCAGGUUUUGAAGCUCUCUACGGCCAUUACGCGCACCACCUCGCACAGAUAAUCUACGGCGAGGGAGGGACUGACCGCUAACCACCUGCCAUAUUAAUGGCGCGCCGCUCCCUUGGAUUCCUGUGGCCGCCCGUCAGAUGGUUGCCAUGCGGCAUCAUCUCUUGGCUUUCUUGUGAGUCCGGGAUGUAUGUGAGUAGCACGGCCACGUGUUCCUCAUCAGGAAGCGCGUCCCUUGAUGGCCGCCCACCUCCCCAACUGCCCCCUUAAUGGCGCCCGCGGCGGUCUAUAGAAGACCGGCGCCCGCGGCGGUCUCUGGCUUAUCCUUUCCACUCUCCGCGCCCCCUAGUUCCCUCUCGCCCGCCUCCAAUCCACCACUUCCUCGUCAAUGUAGCAACGGAAGGAGCUCCCCCUCAUCUUCAGUUUUGGGAUGAGGAGAAGCAGAAGAAGCCAGAUCCCCUGGCUCCCGUUUGGAACUUGUAUGACGUGUCCAUGGGCGAGGGCCAGAAGCAGGACGUGGAAAAGGACGUGCCGAGGCCCGCAAUGCCGCCGACGCAUGGCCGGCCUGGGACGAGAGCGUCGAGGCGAGUUUUCGGGCCAUCGACGCCAGUAUUCCAUGCCGCCCCCGCUGGGGAAUCCAGCCGUGGCGGCAACUGGUUAGCUAAUUAGUUUAAUUAAUUACUAGUUGUUCUAUGAAUGUAAGUCGCAAUGUGACUUAUUUUCCGCCGGAAUGAAACCAAUGCUUCAAGUGACGAGGAGGAAGAGAUUGAGGUCUAUGGUCAUUUUGAUUACAUGGGGCAUUUGGAGAGAAAGAAACAGCAGGGUUUUUGACAAAAACUUAGCCAUGUCCAGCAAUUGUUAGAUCAGAUCAUGGCUGAUGCUAGACAGUGGGCGUUAGCUAGUUCUGGCCGCUUUCCUUCGUAGAUGAUCAGGUCGGUUGCUGGGUCAUCUUGCUUGUUCUUUUAGUCUUUUGGUCGUUUUUGAGUUAGAAUGUAAAGGAAAAGAUUGGCAAGGGCAGUUUGCUGUGAUGAGAGCUUUGCCGUGAGCCAAGAGAUAUAUAUCAGGCACCCAAACCUCCUUGUGGUGUUUUGGAUAGGAUAACCCAGUCCCAUGUAUGCACUAGGCACUUGCCCGCGAGCCUGCCCAAAUGAAUGAGAUAAUUUCAUCAUAUUGUGAACCUCCAACAUUGCAGUAGUUCAAGGUCGAAUCAUGUUGUGCUGUGGAUGCGUCCUGCUUUAGCUUUAUUGACUUGGACCGCUACAAUUGAAAUUAUUUUGAGGGGCAAAGUGCGCUCUUCUUCUGCUCAUCACAUCAUCUUACUAAACCCUGUGUUCUUACUGUGGUGCAGAACGGGGACUGUUGGACUAAGCUUCACGCACAGUUGUUGAUGCUUCACGUAAGAAUGGCGUCAAGAUGAUGGAUCUGUUUACUUUUGCCACCCAGGAAGAAUUUGAAGUGAAGUUCGGCGCCUUUUGUUGUUGUUUGUGUGUUUGGGCGGUUUGAUCUGGGUGGAUGUGCGCUUGUUCAAUUUGUGCUCGGGCCAAGACUUUACUUCGUUCGUCUGAGUUUGUGUGUACCGUGUGUAACCCCAACUGGGAAGUUAUGUUUUACCUAGCGAACCAAGUUAAUGUAUUUGUAUUAGUAGAAGGCAUGCAUGAACAUGAUCUGUGGUGACAGUAACUUAUGACGGUAGACUUCAGUGGUUGAAUUCGAAGCCUGAGUGUUGCGGUAGCAAGUGCACAGCCGCCAACAUAAUGCAGCCGUGCUUAUCGCCGGCCACGGCAUAAUAACGGUAUAGACUUGGUGUGGGGCCUUGGUUUGGAUGGCCAUUGGCCAAAGAAGGAAUCAGUGGAACUGUCGGUGUUUGAGCUAUAUUUUUUUUAGCAAGAACAUGGUGCAGCGGCGCGACUUGGAAGGGCCACGUUGCAAGCUUUACCAAGUGUCUUGAGAAAUAACGGCUUGGUUCUGGUGGCGGUAGUGUUAGGAAUAAAUUUAGAUUUGUCUGCGAUUGGUGGUUGGCAUGGAAUAAGGUCUCUCGUCCUCGUUCCGAUGAUGCUUCGCCGUAUCGUUGGGGGUGUAUAGAGGAUUGUGUCCCCAGAUCUGGUUUGUCUUUGGUUCACCAAUUCCAGUUUCGACCCAAAAGUUUAGCCAGACUCAGUCCAGCUGGAGAUGGUAUGAAUUUUGUAUUCCCCGACUGUCUGGUCGGACUAGGUCGUUCUACAGGCCCUCUCCGGGCAGCCGCCGUCUCCUGGGCACAUUGAUGAUUUUUCGACCGUUACUUCUAAAAGCUCUUGGAUUUCAACAAGUUUGCUCCGCUAUGACGGAGCCCAGAGGCAUCAACGAGCUUUGUCGCCGCGCCAUCAAUUAUUGUAGGAGAAAGAAGUCUUCGGCACACUGAAUAUUGAGACAUAAUUUUUAUUUUUUGUAAGUCUCUGAGUUUGUGCUACUUAAUAUAUAGCCUUUGGCCUUUUGACAAGAAAAUGAUUUUCCAUAAGUGCAAAUGGGACAAGAAAAUCUUGAUUGGACAAAUCUCAACAGUUGGCAGGAAAACAACUACUUUUAAAUUGACUAAGCCAUAUUUUCUUCUUGUAUUCAUAUUCACACAUAAGUAUGUUCGACAAGAAUGUACUCCCUCCGUUGCUUUAUAUAAGGUGUAUUUGUUUUUUCAAAAGUCAAACGAGUGCAUAUUUGACCGAGUUUUUAGAAAAACCCGCGCGUUGCUGCGGGAAUGAGUUGCAAUAUAUUUCAAUGAGAUUUGAUUGUGUGAAAUAUAUAUUUUAGAUUAAUUGCACGCGAACAAAAGUUAAAGAUACACGUGAAUUAUUUUAUUUGAUUAUGUAUAUUGGUAAAAUGUUUAUUGCAUGUAGAAUAAUAAAAUGAACAGUCUUUUCCAUGCAUGUUUGCAUGGGGUGGUGGGUCUUUUCCCAUUCAUGAUUGCAUGUUAAGGUGGGAUUUAUCCCAUCCAUAAUUGUAUGGCGAUGUGGCACGCUUGCAUGUUGAGAUAAAUAAAUUAGUGGGGAUGAAGUUGUUAGGUAUAUAUGAUAUAUCAAUAUCCACACUACGAAAUUUAUAUCAUUUGAUCCAUCAUGAAAAAUACUUUCAUAUUUUAUGUAUUAGGUAUUGUAGAUGUUGUCAUUUCAUUCUAUAAUCUUGGUCAAACAUUCAAAUGGUUGAUUUACACAGAAAUCAACACACCUUAUAUUCUGGAACGGAGGGAGUAGCUUUUUUUCGAGUCGCAAAUUUUUUGGAAAGACCCAUGGCUAUGUUCAUUCUGUACAUUUUUUUCUUUCCAUUUAUAGGUUUUGUAGAAAUUUUCUUUGGAAUUUUUUUCUAGAACUUCUAGGUUUAUUUAGUGAAAUCUACAAUUAAUUUGUACAGAGCAGCGUCCGCAAAAAUAAUAAUAACACAGAGCAGGUUUUCCCUCCUCCUGGAUCCAUUCGCAAGAUGCAGCAGCCCAGUACCAGCCCAUUUCCCACAGAAAACCCAACUCCACCACGCAGCGCCUCUCUCUCCCAAAAAGAAGAUGUGGAAAAAUAAAUAAAGGGAAAACUCGACGCCGCGGCGGUGCCUCGCUCGACUUCAAAACCAAAUCCCUCGACAAAAUCCCCAAUCCCCGGCCAUGGCGAUGAGUCCGCCUCCGCCGCGCCGCGCCCCCAGCUCCCGUCCGACGCCGCCGCUGCCAGACGACGUCAUGCGCGAGAUUCUCCUGCGCCUGCCGGCGGACGACCCCGCGUGCCUCGUCCGCGCCGCCGCCGGCUGCAUUAGCUGGCGGGGCAUGGUCUCGGACCCCAGCUUCGCCCCCGCCUACCGCUUGCGCCGCGGUGCGCCGCCCAUGCUGGGCUUCCUCUACGACGACCGCCCAGCUGGGGAGCACUGGAUCUCCCACUUCCUCCCCACCGCGACCUCCCCCCCGCUGGCCGCCCGCGACCGCCAGCACCGGCACGCUCUCGACUCCCGGCACGGCCUCGCCCUCUUCUACACCCCUAGAAGCCACGCGCACUUCCUUGUCUGCGACCUCGUCACCGGCGAGCACUGGGAAAUUCGCGCCGACCCCAAGUGCUACAAGAUCAUUUGGUCGAAUUUGCUGCAGGAAAUGCACUCCCUGCGCGAGAAUGAGCAAAUAUCCUGUAAUGCUUCCGUGCUCUGUGCCAAGGAUGGGUGUGACCACCGUGAUUGCCAUGGCGGCCCAUUCCUCGUGGCCUUGGUGGGCUCCGACGUGGAAGGGGACACGUAUAUGAACCACGCCGCCGUCUACUCAUCAGCUACUCGCGAGUGGAGCGACGUGACCUCCGUUGAGCAAGAGAAUGUCAUCGAUGGCACGGGGCACAGUGCUGUUGUGGGGAAUACGGUCUAUGCCCCCUGCGUGGAGGAUGACAGUGUCGUGGUGUACAACACGCGUGAGAAAAAACUAUCUGUGAUCGCGGCGCCGCUUGAGGUCGAGGACCAGGAGCAGCAGCCGUACCUUGACCUCAUGGGGCUGGAGGACGGCAUGCUGCUGUUUGCGUCUGUGGUGAAGCCUAGACUCUACCUAUGGACAAUGGAGGCUGGUCCAAGAGGAGCUGCGGGAUGGGCGCGACGCAGGGUCAUCGAGCUCGGGCCAUUGCUCCCUCUUCCUGUCCUCGAGGACAAGUCGGACGUGUCUGCGGUUGGUUUUGCAGAAGGUGUUUGUGUCAUCUUCCUCAAGACAAGGGUUGGGUUGUACACAAUGGAGCUCAGUUCAGGCAAAGGCAAAAAGGUGCACCGAGGGUACAUCAAUAAGGUCAUGCCCUACAUGAGCUUCUACACUGGAGGUACAGAUAACUGUUUCCAAACAUGCACAUUAAGUCAAGUACACUAAGCACACCAUCGACUACUAAUAUUGCUUGUAGCUUAGAUUGUUGAAUAAUUUAAGUCUGAGAGUUCCUAGUGUGAUAUGUGAUUCCUAAACGUCGGUGAGUAUGUAGAGUUUUUCUUCUAUUUUUCUGCAUACCUAGAUAGAUAUCUGUAUGUGGGUCUGCUCGCAUUUUUCUGUUUUUUGGGUGAUUUGUAGAGAUGUUAGGAAGUAGGAACCCAUUCUUUGUGCUGUUGCACUAUUCAUUCAGGUGUUGGGUCGUGCUGCAGACCUGGGUGAUUAUAGGCAACCGUGAGUAACCUGUGAUUUUUCAUGCCAUGUUGUCUUUGUGUCUAUAGAAGCCAGAGAAAAAGAUACAGUAGUCUUGUGGAAUUGGCGUUGGGCAGAUUAACUAGGCAGCUGACUAAAGAAUUCCAUGGUGGAUGUAUAAUUGGUGAUUUAUGUUUCAUUGGCUGCGCUGUUAUAUGUUAUGCUGAUUGGCUUUACUAGCCGGUAAGCCUUAGUUAAACUUUGCUGAUCAUGUCCUAAGAUUGGCAAGAGCAGUUUGCAAAUCGGUCAAGUGAUCAGAGCUUUGCUGUGAGCCAAGAGGUCUCUGGCACCCAAACACCCGUGUAGUGUUUUGGAUAGGAUAACCUAGUCCCAGGCAUGCACUUGUCCAUGAGCCUGCUCGAAUGAAAGAGAUGAUUUCGUUGUUGCGUACUUAGAGCAUUGUAGGUCCAGAUUGAACCGUGUUGUGAUGUGGAUGCUUACUGCUAUCACUUCGUUGAUUUGGUCAGCUAGAAAUGAAAUGAUUUUGAGAGCAGUGUGCUCCUCUCUACUCAUCAUGUCAUCUUAUGAAGCCUUGUCUCUACAUGAGUUUCUACACUGGAGGUACAGACACACACAUUUAGUCAUGAACGCUACGCAUACCAUCGACUACUAUUAUUGCUUAUAGCUUAGAUUGUUGAAUAAUUUAAGUCUGAGAGUUCCUACUGUGGUAUGUGAUUCCUAAAUGUCAAAGAGUAUGUAGAGUUUUUUCUUCUAUUUUUCUGCAUAAGUAGAUACAUAUCUGUAUGCAUGUCUGCUCCUUUUUGUCUAGUUUUUGGGUGACUUGUAGAGAUGUACUCCCUCCGUCCGGAAAUACUUGUCGAAGGAAUGGAUGUAUCUAGAUGUAUUUUAGUUUUAGAUGCAUCCAUUUAUAUCCAUUUCUGUGACGAGUAUUUCCGGACGGAGGGAGUACUAGGAAGUAGGAGCCCAUUCUUUGUGCUGUUAUACCAUUCAGAUGUUGAGUCGUGCUGCAUACCUUGGUGAUUGUAGGCAACCAUGAGUAGCCUGUGAUUUUUCCUGCCAUCUUUGUCUUUGUGUUGAUAGAAGCCAGAGACAAGGAUACAAUAGUUGUGUGGAAUUGGCGUUGGGCAGAUUAACUAGGCGGCUGACCAAAGAAUUUGAUGGUGGAUGUAUAGAUUUAUGUUUCAUUGGCUGCUCUAUUAGUCUAUUAUAUGUUGCGCUGAUUGGUGUUACGAGUUGGUAAGCCUUAGUCAAAGCUUUGCUGAUCAGGCCAUAAGAUUGCCAAGAGCAAAGCAACUAAGUGAUGGGAGCUUUGCUGUGAGCCAAUAGGUCUCUGGAACCCAAACAUCCUUGUGGUGUUUUGGAUAGGAUAACCUAGUCCCAGGUAUGCAUUUGGCAUUUGCCCAUGAGCCUGCCCAAAUGAAAGAUACGAUUUUGUUGUAGCAUUGUAGGUCCAGAUCGAAUCAUGUUGUGAUGUGGAUGCUUCCUGCUAUCACUUUGCUUAUUUGAACAGCUAGAAAUGAAAUGAUUUUGAGGGCACUCUCUAGUCAUCGUGUCAUCUUAUGAAGCCUUGUCUCUUAUGGUGCAGCAUGGGGGCGUCUGCCAGCAUCUAAUGUAGCUUCACGCGCAGUUGUUGAUGCUACAACGAUAUAACCGAAUGGCGUCAGGACUUGGGUUUACUUUUUCUGCCCAGGAAGAAUUUGAAGUGAACUUCAGCCUCAUUCACUGCUGGUUGUGUUGAACAGUUUGGUUAGGAUGGAUGCGCUUUCGUCCUAUUUGUACUUGUGCCAUAAACUCAAGUUCGUUUGUUCGUCCGAGUUGGGUGCGGCUCAAACUGUCCAUCAGGAGAAAUUGUAGUGAUCGGUUGACGGUUUUGUGGCAUGGAUUGGUGGAGAUUUCUCCUUCUCUAUCUUUGGCUGUUAGAGAUGAUGUUGUUGUCUUGAAAAUGCACUCUCCUGAGAUUGAUGGUGUGGAAUCUCUCUAUUCUAUGCAGUAAGAAAUUUCGGGGGAAGUAAAUCCCCACCCGGGUUCAUUGUUUCUGUCUGUGGCUUUAAACUAUGGACAAUGUGGCCAAGAGACAGAUUAUUAGUGAUAAAACACGUCUUUUUGGUGCAAUUUGUCACUUAUUUGUUGGAUGGCCUGUGGCCAAGCUGUGGUGGUCUUAAUUUGUUGAGCUCUCAGCAAUCACGUAUUACUUGAAACCACAGGAAGCUGCCACGAAUCCGCUAGAUAAAUCUCGCAAGAUAUAGCCACAAGCGCAUCUUCUUCGUCCUAUGUCUUAUGUCUUAUGUGUCGACGAUGAUCUUUGCAUCUCGGGAAGUGCGGAUUGUCACAGAGCACAAAUAAAAAUUCUUCACUUGUAGAGUGAGGACCCCCGAACCCAUGUGCAUAUGACCCGCUUUAAAAGAAUGCAUUUUAAACGUGUUUUAAAAUGUCAAAUAUUAAAAACAAAAUUUCAUGCAUACAUCUUCACAUAAUGUGUGCGCGGCACAAAGUAUAGUGGGAAAACCUCUUUUUAUUUGAAUCCUUGAAAAAGACAAUUUUCAGUGCUUCUAAAUAGUGUUCCACGACACUUUUUGUGUGUCUUUUUUGCAUAGGUCAAAGAAAAAGUUGUUUUUCCGCAAAACUUUCUGCACGUGCAUAGAAUGUGAAGCUGUCUGUGUGAAAUUGUUUUCAGAAUUUUUUGGCAUUGAGAAAUGAGUUAUUGUUUUGCCAUGGGUUCAGAAUGUACUCCCUCCGUCCCGUAAUAUAAGAGCUUUUUUGACACUACACUAGUGUAAAAAACGCUCUUAUAUUAUGGGACUGAGGGAGUACUUUCUAAACCAGGUUUUUUUCUUCUUCUAAACUAGGUUUUUUUAGGGUAAUAGCCAAGCUUUAUUCAUCAAAGACCACAUGUUGUGGGAUACAAUUCGGGUUAUGGGGUUGGCCAAACCAAACGUGGCGCCCCGGACCCAGAGAAAGAGCAUGCUUAGCUAAUCUAUGAGCUUCUAAAUUGUUCAAACGGCCUUCAAAACAAAAAUUACAAUGAAGAGAAGAUUGUUGGACUCUAAUCUCCUUGAUGAUUGCUCCAUAAGCGCAGUUGCUGUCGUUAUGUAUGGCACUUACCACCUCCUUUGCGUCUGACGCUACAACAAAUUGGUUUAAGUGAAGAUCAGCUGCGAGCGCCAAACCUUCCCGGCACGCUAUUGCCUCUAGUGUUGCCGGAUCAUCCACACCUCUGAUAACUAGAGCCGAGCUACCAAGGAAAGUACCCGAGUUAUCUCUGCAUAUUGCUGCCGCUGUUCCCCGGCUUCCUUUCCUGCACCCCGCAUCAACAUUAAUUUUGGCAUGGCCAUUAGGAGGUGCUUUGGGUUUCCUGUUGCUGUUAUGUACCACUCUUGGUUCAGUCCUUACCGGGUCCUGUUUUCCAUUGAUUACCUCAAGUUCAUCAAUGUACCUCUCUGCAAAGGACAUGAUCGCAUGUGGGCUCUGAAAAACACCUUCGUGUAUAGCUUUUUGCCUCGCUGCCCAGAUAGCCCAAAGAAUCACCGAGAUCUUCACAAAUUCAGCAUGUGAUAAUAGUUCCAUUAGAGAAAAUAGCCACUGCUUGGCCUUUGGUUCGGUAUUUGACGUCAUUUUUUGAAGAAGUUCGCCAUCCAUAAGCGCCCAGGUGCACCGUGAGGACGUGCAAUCGAUGAGCGAGUGUCUCCACGAGUCGGGUGCCCCACACAUGCCACAUGAACUCGAGUGUGUCAUAUGUCUUCUCGCACGGACAUCGUUUGUUGGGAUCGAAUGCUUUGAGAGUCUCCAGAGGAACAUCCUCACCUUGCCAAGCACUCUCGUACUCCACAAACUCUUCCAAGAUCUCUCCUCCGUCGCAGUGCUUGAAGGACCCGAAGUAUUCUCAAGCCAUGCCUCUCUCCUUGACCUGGUAGCUACAAGCAUGCGAUAUGCCGAGCGGACCGAGAAAGAGCCAUUCUUUUCAUAGUGCCAACCCCAGAAAUCAGAGAUAUUGCGAGUGCAUAGGGGAAUGCUUAGUAUGAUUUGAAUAUCCAUCGGCAUGAACACCGACUCCACCUUCUCUCUAUCCCAGCUUGCGGAUGUGUGAUCUAUAAGCUCAGACACUAGCAUAAGAGGAUUUUGAAUAACGCACCCAUAAGGUUCCAUCAUCUACUCUCUGGGAAGCCAGUUAUCUUCCCAAAUCUUUGUCGGUUCUCCGAUGCCAAUGCGUUUGAUUAGGCCCAUCUUCAGAGUGUCACGUCCUUCUAUAAUGGCCCUCCAAAUCUGACUUGGGUGGUUCCCCAAUGAAGCCUCCAAGAUUGAGCAGUUCGGGUAAUAUAUACUCUUCAAAAUACAUGCGCUGAGAGAAUCCGGCUCCUGCAACAGCCUCCAUGCAUGCUUUGCUAACAUGGCCAAGUUAAAAAGUUCAAAAUCCUUAAAGCCUAAACCGCCCAUUCCUUUUGGCUGGGUCAUAGUCUUCCACGAAACCCAAUGGGGUUUUUGCUUUCCCUCCUUGCUUCCCCACCAAAAUUUCCGGAUUAACAUAUUGAGGUGUUCGCACAAACCUCGUGGCAAUUUGAAACAGGAAAUGGAGAAGACCGGAACUGCUUGGGCGACCGCUUUCACCAAAACCUCUUUGCCUGCUGAAGACAUUGUGCUCUCAAUCCACCCUUGCACUUUGCUCCAUAGACGAUCCUUCAAGUAUUUAAAUGCACCGUUUUUAGAUGAAGCUAUAUCCGAGGGCAUACCUAAAUAUUUCUCAUUUAGGGUCUCAUUUGGAACUUGCAACACCGUUUUCACCUCUGUCCGGAUACUGUCGGGAACCCCUUUGCUGAAAUAAACCGAUGACUUGUUGUAGUUGAUACGCUGCCCUGAGGCCUGGCAGUAUCUGUCCAGGACUAGGUUCACCUCGGUAGCACCCGUACUAUUUGCCUUGAAGAACAGCAGGCUGUCAUCAGCGAAUAAUAAGUGAUUCACCUUAGGUGCCGAGGCCGCCACUUGUAAACCACUCAUGUUGGAUGACUCACUUCUUGAUUUUAACAGGCACGAAAGGCCCUCUGCUGCUAGCAAGAACAAGUACGGAGAUAUCGGGUCCCCUUGUCUGAUCCCACGUGUUGGUGUAAACUCCUCCAACCUCUUUCCAUUAAACUAAACUGAGAAAGUUACUGAGGAUACCAGUCCCAUGACAAUAUCCACCCACCUCUGAGAGAAACCAAGUUUCAACAUGAUUGCUUGUAGAUACUCCCAUUCUACCCUGUCAUAAGCUUUCAUCAUAUCAAGUUUCAAAGCGCAUGAUUGAUGUUUCUUUGCUUUGUUCCUCUUCAUGAAAUGCAAGCACUCAUAAGCAGUCACAAUAUUAUCAGUUAUUAAUCUCCCUGGGACAGAGGCUGACUGCUCCUCUGAAACGAUCUCCGGUAGAAUGAUUUCAAACGAUUAGUGAUUACCUUGGAUGCAAUUUUGUAGAGGACGUUACAUAGACUGAUCGGCCGGAAUUGUGACAACAACGUGGGAUUUUUAACCUUUGGGAUCAAAACCAAAACUAUCUCAUUGAUGCUUCUUGCUGAUUCCUUGCCCUCUACGAUAUCAAGCACUGCUUUUGUAACAUCAUCUCCGCAGAUCUCCCAAUGGCGUUGGAAGAAGUGGGCCGAAAAACCAUCCGGGCCCGGUGCUUUCGUGGGAAACAUUUGGAAAAGUGAUUUUUUAACUUCUGCUUGGGUGUAGGGGGCGUUCAACAUGUCAUUCAUUCCCUGCGUUACUUUGCAUGGUACGGUCGAGAGGACACUCUCCAUAUCCUGUACACCCUCUGAGCUAUACAGGUUUUUGUAAAAGGCGGUUGUCAUUGCUUCCAUCUCGUCUCUAUUCUCUGUGAGCUGACCGGACUCUUUCUAAAGAGCCCUAAUCUGAUUUUUCCGUCUCCUUCUACUUGCACAUAAAUGAAAGAAAUACGUGUUUUUAUCUCCAUGCAUCAGCCACUCGAGCCUUGCCCUCUGGCGCCAUAAUAUCUCCUCGCGAUGAUAUAACUCAACUAGAUUUUAUGUGAUUUUUAACUCCAUGUGGUUUGGCCCGGAUCUACCUGGGAGGCCGCGCAACUCCUGUAGCUGUUUCUGCAACCGUGCAAUCUGCUGUCUUACAUUCCCAAAGUGCUCGCGAUCCCAUGCAGAGAGAUCACCCGACACACGCUGCAGCUUUUGUCGCACCUGCUCCACUGGUCUGAUGUUGUCCAGAUUCUAUGCGGCCCACCCGUCGCCAAUCACUUCCGCAUGCAUGGGGUCACGCUCCCAACACAUCUCGUACCUGAACUGCCUCGGUCCCCGUGGAACUGCAUGUUGCAUGUUGAGCUGGAGGAAGAUGGGAAUAUGAUCAGAAGAAACCGUGUGCUUAUGUUCCAGAAUAGCUGUUGGAAAAGCCAAAGACCACGCUGGAUUAGCGACGCAUCUAUCCAGACGAACCCUGGCGUAAGUUCCUUCUGCCACCUUUUUUUCAAACGUCCAGUUGAUUCCAGUGAAGCCUAUAUCUGACAAACCGCAUGUAUCGAGCGCAUCUCUAAAUGCAUCCAUUUGUGCCUGGCUUCUGUUUGCCACUCCGUCGUGCUCAUGUGAGUAUAACACCUCAUUAAAGUCUCCUAUAACCGCCCAUGGCAGAUCGUUAGCACCAACAAUGCUGCGCAGCAUGUCCCAUGUUUUAUAUCUCUCCACUACCUGGGCCUCCCCAUAGACGAAAGUGACCCUAGUUUUUAUCUGAGCCAGAUCAUCUAUCACAACAUUAAUAUGAUACUUGGAGUAACCAUCAACCACUAGGUUUAUUUCAUCGUUCCAAAAGAUACCAAGUCCACCACUUCUCCCAGAACUACUAAUUGCAAAACUAUUGGUAAACCCUAAUGAGCCUGCUAAAUUCUCUACUCGAGAGCCCUCUAUCUGAGUUUCGACAAUGCAUAAUACAGAGGGGGCAAGUUGCCUCGUUAGAUCACGAAGCUCUCUAACUGUCGCGGGUUUGCCAGCCCCGCGACAGUUCCAACAUAGUAGACUCAUUGCGCAUGGCGCGACUCCCCGUGGGAGCCCGCCAAACGUGCAUCAUUGUUUAUUGUCAACACUAGACUCUUCACCAUUGAGUUGUCUUGGGCUGGUAGAGAAAGCUUGUUCCUCUUUGGUUCCUACUUGGAUGGAGAGCUCGCCGGUACAUCUUGGCUCUGCUGCAUAGGCAAAGGGUUGCUUGGUUGGGCAACAGGCAUAGAGCUAGCUGAACCCCUCGGGUCCAGCACCACUAGGGCGCCCCUUUUCCUGUUAUUUUCCGCAUCAUCCAUUGCAAUAACUUCCUUCAUAUUCUCUGAAAACUCCUGCUCAUUCCACCUCUCCUGACUCCUCUGAGAAGAAACGCGGCCUCGUCCACGGCCACGACCCGAUCUGCCACGCCCUCUUCCUUCUCCCGCUCCCCGGCCCGGUCCUCUGAACCACGAUGCCCGCAAAUUCUUAUAAACCAGAGCUUCAGGUGGAUGAACACCAUCACCGUGCUCCUUAAACUGGUGUCCAAGGUGGCCACAAACAGCGCACCAGUCGGGUAAGCGCUCGUAUUUUACCAGAAAGAUUUUUCUUUUCCCUUCUUUCACCACGGAGACUGCAUUCUUUAGAGGAAGAUGGACAUUGAUCUUAACCCUAACCCGUACAAAGUUGCCUUCAAAGUCUUGUGAUUUUGGUUCAGCGUAUAUGUACUGCCCAAUUUUCCCUGCUAGUGCUUUGAUCAUUGGGAAGUACCCAUCAGGAAAGUCAUGUAUCUGAGCCCAUAUAUCCAGCAUAUCCAGAUUCACCUCUGAAGGCUUAGUGAACCCAUCAUACUCAGCAAGCACCACCGCGUUUCCUUUGAGGGUCCACGGUCCCUCCGCCAUGACGCGUUCCCAAUCGCCGAGGCACGAGAACUGCAUAGUGUACAAAUUUUCUUCGAGCGGACGGAUCUUUACCUCCUGCGCAAGGUCCCAGGCAGCCCUCAUGUUAUGGAAGAACCAAUACUGGUUGUAGUUCUUCGGGGUGUGAACUCUUGCGAUGGCCAUCCACCGCACCGCUGAUUCAGAUGGUACAUCUUGCUCCUCGAAAACCACAUCAUCUAGGUCAUCCUCAGUGAUGCCCAGAUUCUUCAUCAUCAACUCAACAUCGCUUGCCUCCGCGCCCGAUCCAGACGCCCGGCUAGCCAUACCGCAAAACCCUAACCCGACGAAACAGCGAUCACCAGGUUUGACGGAACCCUAUUUGCCUUCUCCUCCUCCCGAAAACCCUAACUAGGCCAAGACCGGGUAGCGAUGCAAGAUCGCCCCUUGAUCAGUCCAAGCCUGGCUGGGAACCGAAGGAAGAUCGACGACGGGAUAGGAUAGUCUCAACGGCGGCUCGGCGAGUCACCGAGAGGAAACGAAACACUAACAGGAGGGGACCCAUGCUCUCCUCUUCUAAACUAGGUGAUGGCUCGGCCGCGCGUAAGGGUCCUCUUCCCCUCGUCCCUCUCCAGCCCAGCCCAGCUCAGCCCAAAUCGUGCUUUCGAUGCAUACUUAAAAAAACUGCAAUUAAAUUUAAAAAAAAUAAAAGACUCGUCUCGAUGGGGGAUUGAACCCAUGUCAUUCCGCAUAUCGGACGGAAACUCUAUCCAACUGAGCUACGGGACCACAACAAGUAAUCAUGUUAUUAAAUUAUAUUAAUAAAAAAAUUAAAAUUAAAGGGUUAGAUAAAACAACCGUGAAACUUUCAUUAACACAGUUCUGUCGCUAACCAUCUGAUGGUCUGACCUCAACCCAUAAUUCUAUUAUUACAGUAUAAAAUUUAAUUAAUAAAAAUAAAAAGGUUAGAGAAAAUGUGGCAACACUUCUUUUUUGAGAAACAUGAUGGCAACCUUCUGAACUGUGCGGCAGGCAAACCAACCUGUGGUUGGAUGGUUAGAUGGACUGUGGUAUCCCUAGCCCAUCAAGGUUCAAAUCCUGGUGCUCGCAUAUGUUCCUGGAUUUAUUUUAGGAUUUUCGGCGAUGCGCAUUAAGUGGGAGGAGACGUUCCCGAGGUGCCUACGGUGACUUCGUAAAUUUCAAGAUGAUAUGUUGGCUCAGUCUUUCGGAGGUGCUCAUAGGGGUAGGGUGUGCGUGUGUGCGUUCAUAGGGGUGAGUGUAUGCGCGUGUAUAUAAGCGUUUGCGUCUGUAAUGUGUUAAAAAAAAGAACUGUGCGGCAGAGAAUGGGCCAUGCUGCACUCGACUACCCACCAGGUUUUUUUUAAGAUAGUUCCUUCGUCCUCUUCUGUUUUUUUUCUGGAUCUUAGUAUCAGCACUAGGUAUUUGUUUUCCAUUGCUUCCUGCUAUGAUCAAUUAUCAAUAUGAAAUGCCGGCAACAUGCUGGAUCUUUUAAAAAAUAACUUUUAAAAAAUUUCUAAAAUUUUCAGAAUUUAAUCCAUUGCUUGAGAAAGAAUAAAACACAAGUCAGGCACCGAUAUGUAAUGAUAAUAUGUUAAAUUCACAGCCUGUCAUGCAACCCACAAUUUGCAACCGAAUUGUCUCUUCUUUUCAUUUAUCGGGUUGUUGAUCAAACUUAACAUUUUUACAUGGCAAACAUAUGUUGUGCUUAUAAUGAUAGUUCCCUGUUUUCUAUCCAUGGCUAAGAAAUAAUGGUUUCUAAUUCAAAAACCGUCAUGGUCAAAACUUUAGGCUUUGUGGAACGAAGACGACGACUCUGAAGGUCUUUCUUUCCUCUCUCACAAGGCGUCUAUGGCAAAGCCUUCGUCCCCCCUGAUCUCCAUCGACAAGAUCGUGGAGUUGCCUCCCCUCUGCCAGCCGCUUCAACGGUCUGUAGAAGGGAGAGGAAUCUUGGUGUCUCAGCUCUGACUUGUAGAUAGGUUAGGAUUUUAGUUCUUGUAGGGGCGGCAAUUGGACGGAUGGCGACUCUUCUUCUUCUUCGAGUCAGUAUUCCAGGCUCCGGUCCUCAUCAAGUUCGUCCAUCAGAGCGGAUUAGAAGAUUCCUGCCAGUUUCUUGUGGUGGCGAGGUUAGGGUUUAUUGUGGUGCAUAGGGACAACGAGAUUUGGUGUUAGGUUCACAUCGAUUCAAGGUUCAACGACGAUGACUACGUCUCUGGGGCGCUAGUCCUUAGCGGCAUGCGCAUGAAGACUUUAUGGCUAUCAUCGCCAGCUCCAGUAUGUGAGCAGCGACAUGUUCUAGCCAUUGCAGUGGUCGUUAGGUGGCUCACGGGCCUCGAUAUAAAUUUUAUUAUGUUUAGGUGUUUUAUACUUUAGAAAUUGCAUUAGUAAUAAAUUCAUAUUAUUCUUUUGAAAAGGAGAAUCGCCCUCGGCAUUUGAGUAAUAAAUUCAUAUGAAUUUAUAAAAGAAUUAGAACUUUCCUGGGUAAAGUUUAUUGAGGGAGUUUUUGUAAUAGAUAUGAAUGCCUUUUGAAGAAAAGAACUUCAUACAGGUGGUAAUGGGAGAAUAAAACCUUUGAUUCAACUACUGUCAAUAAUUAACCAGAAAAUGGCAACCGUUUUUACAUUGACUGAGCAAAAUUCAUUUUCUUCUUGUAUUCAUAUUCACACACAUGAGUAUGUUUGACAAUAAUUUAGUAAGGCCCAUGAGUUAUCUUUAGUAAAACGGAAAAGCUAAUCCGGACGGCGGGAUUUUAGCGACAGAUCCGCACACAUCACACGUCGUUGGAUCCUAUUCCUACGGUUGAGUUUACGUCCCGAUCUGACUGCCCUUUCUUCAUUGAUCGUGCACCUCCCCGUUAGGCUGGUGAUCGUGCACCUCCCCGUUAGGCUAGUCAUAGUGGGGAGUAACUGUUGGAAAUAUGCCCUGGAGGCAAUAAUAAAAUGGUUAUUAUUAUAUUUCCUUGUUCAUGAUAAUUGUCUAUUGUUCAUGCUAUAAUUGUGUUAUCCGGAAAUCGUAAUACAUGUGUGAAUAGAUAGACCACAACGUGUCCCUAGUGAGCCUCUAGUUGACUAGCUCGUUGAUCAACAGAUAGUCAUGGUUUCCUGACUAUGGACAUUGGAUGUCAUUGAUAACGGGAUCACAUCAUUAGGAGAAUGAUGUGAUGGACAAGACCCAAUCCUAAGCAUAGCACAAAGAUCGUGUAGUUCGUUUGCUAGAGCUUUUCCAAUGUCAAGUAUCAUUUCCUUAGACCAUGAGAUCGUGUAACUCCUGGAUGCCGUAGGAGUGCUUUGGGUGUACCAAACGUCACAACGUAACUGGGUGACUAUAAAGGUACACUACAGGUAUCUCUGAAAGUGUCUGUUGGGUUGACACGGAUCGAGACUGGGAUUUGUCACUCCGUAUGACGGAGAGGUAUCUCUGGGCCCACUCAGUAAUGCAUCAUCAUAAUGAGCUCAAAGUGACCAAGUGGUUGGUCACGGGAUCAUGCAUUACGGUACGAGUAAAGUGACUUGCCGGUAACGAGAUUGAACGAGGUAUUGGGAUACCGACGAUCGAAUCUCGGGCAAGUAACGUACCGAUUGACAAAGGGAAUUGUAUACGGGAUUGAUUGAAUCCUUGACAUCGUGGUUCAUCUAAUGAGAUCAUCGUGGAACAUGUGGGAGCCAACAUGGGUAUCCAGAUCCCGCUGUUGGUUAUUGACCGGAGAGUCGUCUCGGUCAUGUCUGCAUGUCUCCCGAACCCGUAGGGUCUACACACUUAAGGUUCGGUGACGCUAGGGUUGUAGAGAUACUAGUAUGCGGUAACCUGAAAGUUGUUCGGAGUCUCGGAUGAGAUCCCGGACGUCACGAGGAGUUCUGGAAUGGUCCGGAGGUGAAGAAUUAUAUAUAGGAAGUCCAGUUUCGGCCACCGGGAAAGUUUCGGGGGUUACCGGUAUUGUACCAGGACCAUCGGAAGGGUCCCGGGGGUCCACCGGGUGGGGCCACCUAUCCCGGAGGGCCCCAUGGGCUGAAGUGGGAGGGGAACCAGCCCCUGGUGGGCUGGUGCGCCCCCCUUGGGCCUCCCCUGCGCCUAGGGUUAGAAACCCUAGGGGUGGGGGCGCCCCCCACUUGGCUUGGGGGGGGGGGGAAGCCACCCCUUGGCCGCCGCCCCCCUGGAGAUCAGAUCUCCCAGGGCUGGCGCCCCCCAGGAGGCCUAUAUAUAGGAGGGGGGAGGGAGGGCAGCCGCACGACAGCCCCUGGCGCCUCCCUCUCCCUCCCGUGACACCUCUCCCUCUCGCCGUGCUUGGCGAAGCCCUGCCGAGAUCCCUGCUACUUCCACCACCACGCCGUCGUGCUGCUGGAUCUCCAUCAACCUCUCCUUCCCCCUUGCUGGAUCAAGAAGGAGGAGACGUCGCUGCUCCGUACGUGUGUUGAACGCGGAGGUGCCGUCCGUUCGGCGCUCGGUCAUCGGUGAUUUGGAUCACGACGAGUACGACUCCAUCAACCCCGUUCACUUGAACGCUUCCGCUCGCGAUCUACAAGGGUAUGUAGAUGCACUCCUUCCUUCUCGUUGCUAGUAAAUUCCAUAGAUGGAUCUUGGUGAUGCAUAGAAAAUUUUAAAUUUCUGCAACGAUCCACAACAGUGGCAUCAUGAGCCAGGCCUAUGCGUAGUUUCUAUGCAUGAGUAGAACACAAACUUGUUGUGGGCGUAGAUGUUGUCAAUUUUCUUGCCACUACUAGUCUUAUCUUGUUUCGGCGGCAUUGUGGGAUGAAGCGGCUCGGACCGACCUUACACGUACGCUUACGUGAGACAGGUUCCACCGACUGACAUGCACUAGUUGCAUAAGGUGGCUAGCGGGUGUCUGUCUCUCCCACUUUAGUCGGAACGGAUUCGAUGAAAAGGGUCCUUAUGAAGGGUAAAUAGAAAUUGGCAUAUCACGUUGUGGUUUUACGUAGGUAAGAAACACUCUUGCUAGAAACCUAUAGAAACCACGUAAAAACAUGCAACAACAAUUAGAGGACGUCUAACUUGUUUUUGCAGCAUGUGCCUUGUGAUGUGAUAUGGCCAAAAGGAUGUGAUGAAUGAGAUAUAUGUGAUGUAUGAGAUUGAUCAUGUUCUUGUAAUAGGAAUCACGACUUGCAUGUCGAUGAGUAUGACAACCGGCAGGAGCCAUAGAAGUUGUCUUUAUUUUUGUAUGACCUGCGUGUCAUUGAAUAACGCCAUGUAAAUUACUUUACUUUAUUACUAAACACGUUAGCCAUAGAAGUAGAAGUAAUCGUUGGCGUGACAACUUCAUGAAGACACGAUGAUGGAGAUCAUGAUGAUGGAGAUCAUGGUGUCAUGCCGGUGACGAAGAUGAUCAUGGCGCCCCGAAGAUGGAGAUCAAAGGAGCAAAAUGAUAUUGGCCAUAUCAUGUCACUAUUUGAUUGCAUGUGAUGUUUAUCAUGUUUUACAUCUUAUUUGCUUAGAACGACGAUAGCUUAAAUAAGAUGAUCCCUCACUAAAAUUUCAAGAAAAGUGUUCUCCCUAACUGUGCACCGUUGCGAAGGUUCGUUGUUUCGAAGCACCACGUGAUGAUCGGGUGUGAUAGAUUCUAACGUUCGCAUACAACGGGUGUUGACGAGCCUAGCAUGUACAGACAUGGCCUCGGAACACACGCAAUACACUUAGGUUGACUUGACGAGCCUAGCAUGUACAGACAUGGCCUCGGAACACGGAAGACCGAAAGGUCGAGCAUGAGUCGUAUAGAAGAUACGAUCAACAUGAAGAUGUUCACCGAUGUUGACUAGUCCGUCUCACGUGAUGAUCGGACACGGCCUAGUUAACUCGGAUCAUGUUUCACUUAGAUGACUAGAGGGAUGUCUAUCUGAGUGGGAGUUCAUUGAAUAAUUUGAUUAGAUGAACUUAAUUAUCAUGAACUUAGUCUAAGAUCUUUACAAUAUGUCUUGUAGAUCAAAUGGCCCACGUUGCCCUCAACUUCAACGCGUUCCUAGAGAAAACCAAGCUGAAAGAUGAUGGCAGCAACUAUACGGACUGGGUCCGGAACCUGAGGAUCAUCCUCAUAGCUGCCAAGAAAGAUUAUGUCCUAAAAGCACCGCUAGGUGAAGCACCCAUCCCAGAGAACCAAGACGUUAUGAACGCUUGGCAGUCACGUGCUGAUGAUUACUCCCUCGUUCAGUGCGGCGUGCUUUACAGCUUAGAACCGGGGCUCCAAAAGCGUUUUGAGCAACACGGAGCAUAUGAGAUGUUCGAAGAGCUGAAAAUGGUUUUCCAAGCUCAUGCCCGGGUCGAGAGAUAUGAAGUCUCCGACAAGUUCUUCAGUUGUAAGAUGGAGGAAAACAGUUCUGUCAGUGAGCACAUACUCAAAAUGUCUGGGUUGCACAACCGCUUGACUCAGCUGGGAGUUAAUCUCCCGGAUGACGCGGUCAUUGACAGAAUCCUUCAGUCGCUUCCACCGAGCUACAAGAGCUUUGUGAUGAACUUCAAUAUGCAGGGGAUGGAAAAGACCAUUCCUGAGGUAUAUUCAAUGCUGAAAUCAGCGGAGGUGGAGAUCAAAAAGGAACAUCAAGUGUUUAUGGUGAAUAAAACCACUAAGUUCAAGAAAGGCAAGGGUAAGAAGAACUUCAAGAAGGACGGCAAGGGAGUUGCCGCGCCCGGUAAGCCAGUUGCCGGGAAGAAGCCAAAGAAUGGACCCAAGCCUGAGACUGAGUGCUUUUAUUGCAAGGGAAGUGGUCACUGGAAGCGGAACUGCCCCAAAUACUUAGCGGACAAGAAGGCCGGCAACACCAAAGGUAUAUGUGAUAUACAUGUAAUUGAUGUGUACCUUACCAGUACUCGUAGUAGCUCCUGGGUAUUUGAUACCGGUGCGGUUGCUCAUAUUUGUAACUCAAAACAGGAGCUGCGGAAUAAGCGGAGACUGGCGAAGGACGAGGUGACGAUGCGCGUCGGGAAUGGUUCCAAGGUCGAUGUGAUCGCCGUCGGCACGCUGCCUCUACAUUUACCUACGGGAUUAAUUUUAAACCUCAAUAAUUGUUAUUUAGUGCCAGCUUUGAGCAUGAACAUUGUAUCAGGAUCUCGUUUAAUUCGAGAUGGCUACUCAUUUAAAUCGGAGAAUCAUGGUUGUUCUAUUUAUAUGAGAGAUAUGUUUUAUGGUCAUGCCCCGCUGGUCAAUGGUUUAUUCUUAAUGAAUCUCGAACGUGAUGUUACACAUAUUCAUAGUGUGAAUACCAAAAGAUGUAAAGUUGAUAACGAUAGUCCCACAUACUUGUGGCACUGCCGCCUUGGUCACAUUGGUGUCAAGCGCAUGAAGAAGCUCCACGCUGAUGGACUUUUAGAGUCUCUCGAUUAUGAAUCAUUUGGCACAUGCGAACCAUGCCUCAUGGGCAAAAUGACCAAGACUCCGUUCUCCGGAACAAUGGAGCGAGCAACCAACUUAUUAGAAAUCAUACAUACUGAUGUGUGCGGUCCAAUGAGUGUUGAGGCUCGCGGAGGCUAUCGUUAUGUUCUCACUCUCAUUGAUGACUUGAGUAGAUAUGGGUAUGUCUACCUAAUGAAACACAAGUCUGAGACCUUUGAAAAGUUCAAGGAAUUUCAGAGUGAGGUUGAGAAUCAACGUGACAGGAAAAUAAAGUUCCUACGAUCAGAUCGUGGAGGGGAAUAUUUAAGUCACGAAUUUGGCACACACUUAAGGAAAUGUGGAAUAGUUUCACAACUCACGCCGCGUGGAACACCUCAGCGAAAUGGUGUGUCCGAACGUCGUAAUCGCACUCUAUUGGAUAUGGUGCGAUCUAUGAUGUCUCUUACCGAUCUACCGCUCUCAUUUUGGGGCUAUGCUUUAGAGACUGCCGCAUUCACUUUAAAUAGGGCUCCGUCGAAAUCCGUUGAGACGACACCGUAUGAGUUAUGGUUUGGGAAGAAACCUAAGCUGUCGUUUCUGAAAGUUUGGAGAUGCUUAUGUCAAGAAACUUCAACCUGAAAAGCUCGAACCCAAGUCAGAAAAAUGCGUCUUCAUAGGAUACCCUAAGGAAACCAUUGGGUAUACCUUCUACCUCAGAUCCGAAGGCAAAAUCUUUGUUGCCAAGAAUGGGUCCUUUCUGGAGAAAGAUUUUCUCUCGAAAGAAGUGAGUGGGAGGAAAGUGGAACUUGAUGAGGUGAUAGUCACCCCUUCCGAACCAGAAAGUAGCGCGGCGCGGGAAGAUGUUCCUGUGGUGCCUGCACCGACUAGGGAGGAAGUUAAUGAUGAUGAUCAUGAAGCUUCAGAUCAAGUUACUGCUGAACUUCGUAGGUCCACAAGGACACGUUUCGCACCAGAGUGGUACGGCAACCCUGUCAUGGAAAUCAUGUUGUUAGACAACGGUGAACCUUCGAACUAUGAAGAAGCGAUGGCGGGCCCGGAUUCCAACAAAUAGCUUGAAGCCAUGCAAUCCGAGAUAGGAUCCAUGUAUGAAAACGAAGUAUGGACUUUGACUGACUUGCCCGAUGAUCGGCGAGCCAUAGAAAAUAAAUGGAUCUUUAAGAAGAAGACAGACACGGAUGGUAAUGUGACCAUCUAUAAGGCUCGACUUGUCGCUAAGGGUUAUCGACAAGUUCAAGGGGUUGACUACGAUGAGACUUUCUCACCCGUAGCGAAGCUGAAGUCCGUCCGAAUCAUGUUAGCAAUUGCCGCAUUCUAUGAUUAUGAGAUAUGGAAAAUGGACGUCAAAACGGCAUUCCUUAACGGCUUUCUUAAGGAAGAAUUGUAUAUGAUGCAGCCGGAAGGUUUUGUCGAUCCUAAGAAUGCUAACAAGGUAUGCAAGCUCCAGCGCUCCAUCUAUGGGCUGGUGCAAGAAUCUCGGAGUUGGAACAUUCGAUUUGAUGAGAUGAUCAAAGCGUUUGGGUUUACACAGACUUAUGGAGAAGCCUGUGUUUACAAGAAAGUGAGUGGGAGCUCUGUAGCAUUUCUCUUAUUAUAUGUGGAUGACAUACUAUUGAUGGGAAAUGAUAUAGAAUUCUUGCAAAGUAUAAAGGCCUACUUGAACAAGUGUUUUUCAAUGAAGGACCUUGGAGAAGCUGCUUAUAUAUUAGGCAUCAAGAUCUAUAGAGAUAGAUCAAGACGCCUCAUUGGUCUUUCACAGAGUACGCACCUUGACAAGAUAUUGAAGAAGUUCAAUAUGGAUCAGUCCAAGAAGGGGUUAUUGCCUGUAUUGCAAGGUGUGCAAUUGAGCACGGCUCAAUGCCCGACCACGGCAGAAUAUAGAGAAAAGAUGAGUGUCAUCCCCUAUGCCUCGGCCAUAGGGUCUAUUAUGUAUGCCAUGCUGUGUACCAGACCUGAUGUAAACCUUGCCGUAAGUUUGGUAGGAAGGUACCAAAGUAAUCCCGGCAUGGAACACUGGACAGCGGUCAAGAAUAUCCUGAAGUACCUGAAGAGGACUAAGGAUAUGUUUCUCGUUUAUGGAGGUGACCAAGAGCUCGUCGUAAAGGGUUACGUCGAUGCUAGCUUCGACACAGAUCUGGAUGACUCUAAGUCACAAACCGGAUACGUGUAUAUUUUGAAUGGAGAGGCAGUAAGCUGGUGCAGUUGCAAGCAAAGCGUCGUGGCGGGAUCUACAUGUGAAGCGGAGUACAUGGCGGCCUCAGAGGCAGCGCAAGAAGCAAUCUGGAUGAAGGAGUUCAUUACCGACCUAGGGGUGAUUCCCAAUGCGUCGGGCCCGAUGACUCUCUUCUGUGACAACACUGGAGCUAUUGCCCUUGCCAAGGAGCUCAGGUUUCACAGGAAGACCAGGCAUAUCAAGCGUCUCUUCAACUCCAUUCGUGAAAGUGUUCAAAAUGGAGACAUAGAUAUUUGUAAAGUACAUACGGACCUGAAUGUAGAAGAUCCGUUGACUAAACCUCUCCCUAGAGCAAAACAUGAUCAACACCAGAACUCUAUGGGUGUUCGAUUCAUCACAAUGUAACUAGAUUAUUGACUCUAGUGCAAGUGGGAGACUGUUGGAAAUAUGCCCUAGAGGCAAUAAUAAAAUGGUUAUUAUUAUAUUUCCUUGUUCAUGAUAAUUGUCUAUUGUUCAUGCUAUAAUUGUGUUAUCCGGAAAUCGUAAUGCAUGUGUGAAUAGAUAGACCACAACGUGUCCCUAGUGAGCCUCUAGUUGACUAGCUCGUUGAUCAACAGAUAGUAAUGGUUUCCUGACUAUGGACAUUGGAUGUCAUUGAUAACGGGAUCACAUCAUUAGGAGAAUGAUGUGAUGGACAAGACCCAAUCCUAAGCAUAGCACAAAGAUCGUGUAGUUCGUUGGCUAGAGCUUUUCCAAUGUCAAGUAUCAUUUCCUUAGACCAUGAGAUCGUGUAACUCCCGGAUGCCGUAGGAGUGCUUUGGGUGUACCAAACGUCACAACGUAACUGGGUGACUAUAAAGGUACACUACAGGUAUCUCUGAAAGUGACUUGCCGGUAACGAGAUUGAACGAGGUAUUGGGAUACCGACGAUCGAAUCUCGGGCAAGUAACGUACCGAUUGACAAAGGGAAUUGUAUACAGGAUUGAUUGAAUCCUCGACAUUGUGGUUCAUCCGAUGAGAUCAUCGUGGAACAUGUGGGAGCCAACAUGGGUAUCCAGAUCCCGCUGUUGGUUAUUGGCCAGAAAGUCGUCUCGGUCAUGUCUGCAUGUCUCCCGAACCCGUAGGGUCUACACACUUAAGGUUCGGUGACGCUAGGGUUGUAGAGAUACUAGUAUGCGGUAACCCGAAAGUUGUUCAGAGUCCCGGAUGAGAUCCCGGACGUCACGAGGAGUUCCGGAAUGGUCCGGAGGUGAAGAAUUAUAUAUAGGAAGUCCAGUUUCGGCCACCGGAAAAAUUUCGGGGGUUACCGGUAUUGUACCGGGACCACCGGAAGGGUCCCGGGGGUCCACCGGGUGGGGCCACCUAUCCUGGAGGGCCCCAUGGGCUGAAGUGGGAGGGGAACCAGCCCCUGGUGGGCUGGUGCGCCCACCCUUGGGCCUCCCCCUGCGCCUAGGGUUAGAAACCAUAGGGGUGGGGGCGCCCCCCACUUGGCUUGGGGGGGGGGGGAAGCCACCCCUUGGCCGCCGCCCCUGGAGAUCAGAUCUCCCAGGGCCGGCGCCCCCCCAGGAGGCCUAUAUAUAGGAGGGGGGAGGGAGGGCAGCUGCACGACAGCCCCUGGCGCCUCCCUCUCCCUCCCGUGACACCUCUCCCUCUCGCUGUGCUUGGCGAAGCCCUGCCGAGAUCCCUGCUACUUCCACCACCACGCCGUCGUGCUGCUGGAUCUCCAUCAACCUCUCCUUCCCCCUUGCUGGAUCAAGAAGGAGGAGACGUCGCUGCUCCGUACGUGUGUUGAACGCGGAGGUGCCGUCCGUUCGGCGCUCGGUCAUCGAUGAUUUGGAUCACGACGAGUACGACUCCAUCAACCCCGUUCACUUGAACGCUUCCGCUCGCGAUCUACAAGGGUAUGUAGAUGCACUCCUUCCUUCUCGUUGCUAGUAAACUCCAUAGAUGGAUCUUGGUGAUGCGUAGAAAAAUUUAAAUUUCUGCAACGAUCCACAAUAGUAACUUAGACUAGUAACAUGCAUAUGUUACUAGUCUAUAUUACUACUUCUAUAGUGCAUAGUAUCAUAGAUUAGUAUCAUAAGUGAUGUCAUUUAUUGCCAUGCAUGACACCUAGUAGCAUCAUAUUUAUUAUGUUACGUUAUCUAUCUAUGUUACUAUAACCAUCUCUCUCUUCUUUAAUGGCCUGCCACAUAAGCAUGUUUGCGAGUCCCAAAUGCAUGAUACUACUUAUGUUACCCCACUAUGGCCAGCCUUAAUUCUGUGAUUUAAAGGCCCACCUCCCCACUAAUUCCGGGAUCUCCCGCACGUCGACUUAUGCCGAUUUUUUCUCCUGAUUGAUGGCCACCGCUGGAUAAAAGGGAUCGAGAAAAAUUAAUUCAUGAGAAGGGUGACUCGAACCUGUUACCCAUCAGACUAGGUAGCAGUUCCCAAACCAUGCACCAACUGAAGCUGUUUGACUCGUUCUUAUGCAUGUCUUUACUUGACUUAACUAGCGCUACAAAAUAGAAUGGUAAUUUUUGGAUCAACGUAGAUUUGCUGCUAUUUUUGCUGGCUCUUGCCAUUUACCCGAGCUCCAGAAGCGCUAAUGCUAGGUGAUUUUUUGAUCUGCAAUUUCUCCACUGAUUUUGUAUCUUUUUUUAUCUUACGUGCAAACACCACAAAAAAUUAACCUAGAAAAAAAAGUUGUUGAAUAAUAUACUCCCAACAAUUUCUGUAUAAAUAGCAUGAUAAAAUACACAUCGUUUACUUGAUAACUUAAGUACAAACUAGACAGUAAUUUUUUACCACGUGAUUUGGUGAGAAUAUACCCCGGUAAUUUUCAUGUAAAUGCAUGGUAAUACACUCACGGCAUGGUUGAUAAUUCUCACACAAACAUCGUGAUAACUUUUUGACCCAAGAAAAAAAUUAUUGACAAACAUACACCGUUAACUUAUAUGGAAAAAUAACAUGUUAAUAUACGCACAACAGAACUGAUAACUUACCUAGUCGAAAUGUGAUAAUUUUUUGACCAGGGAAAACAUCUGUUGAACCGCCCUCCCCCGGUAACUCAUGUGUACUAGCAUGGUAAUAUACACGCAGCGAUGUUGAUAACUUACUUAGCCCAAACAUGGUAACUACUUUUGACUNNNNNNNNNNNNNNNNNNNNNNNNNNNNNNNNNNNNNNNNNNNNNNNNNNNNNNNNNNNNNNNNNNNNNNNNNNNNNNNNNNNNNNNNNNNNNNNNNNNNNNNNNNNNNNNNNNNNNNNNNNNNNNNNNNNNNNNNNNNNNNNNNNNNNNNNNNNNNNNNNNNNNNNNNNNNNNNNNNNNNNNNNNNNNNNNNNNNNNNNNNNNNNNNNNNNNNNNNNNNNNNNNNNNNNNNNNNNNNNNNNNNNNNNNNNNNNNNNNNNNNNNNNNNNNNNNNNNNNNNNNNNNNNNNNNNNNNNNNNNNNNNNNNNNNNNNNNNNNNNNNNNNNNNNNNAAAAUAGCAUUGUAAAUUCUGUACAAAAAGAAUGGUACCACACACACAACACACCUGGUAACUCAUACACAAACAUCACGAUAACUUUGACCCGGAUGGCUUUGUUGAAAACAUACCCCUGAUAACUUUCGUGUAAAUAGCUUGGUACUAUAUGUACCAUAUACAUGAUAACGCAUGCACAAACACCGGUAACUUUGACCCGAGAAGGGCCGGUGGGGGGAGGUGAGGAAGUUGUUCGAAAACAUACCCUCUCCUAAUAACUUCUGUGUAAAUAAAAAGGUAAUAUACACAGCGUAGACUUGAUAACUCACUAUAAACAUCGUGGUAACUUUGACCACGGGGGAUGAAGUUGUUUGAAAACAUACACUCGAUAACUUAUGUGUAAAUAGUAUGAUAAUAUACAAACCGCGGGCGUGAUAACUCACGCACAAACACCAUGGUAACUUUGCCUCAGUAAAAAAAGUUAUUGAGAACAUACCACGGUAACUCAUGUGUAAACAACAUGAUAAGACACACACCGGAGCUGAUAACUUACUUAGCUCGUGCCGGUAACUAUUUGCACGGAAGAAAGGUCAUCAGAACAUAUCAAUAUGGGAUUUAGUUUCGUAGGUCUCGUCGCGGUAGAUUUUUUAUGUGACAAUGAUUUUUUGAUCGGACCGACGAUUUGAUCUAUAAACCGAAGUUUCAAAAUAUGGGAGAAUCUAUGAUGAUAUCACAUUUUCUUUCUUGUCCCUCUAAUGCAUGCACGCAUGUGCAUGUGAAGGAAAAGUUAAAGGAACCAUUUUCACGCCCGGUAAUUUUCUAUGUAAACAACAUGAUAAUUUAUGCAUCACAACAUGAUAAGUUAUGUUGCAAAGGCGUGGUAACUUCUUACAUAAAAAAAAGUCGUCGGAACAUAUCAAUAUGAGAUCUAGUUUUGAAGGUCUCGUCGCAACGAAUCUUUUACGUGAAAACGGUUCUUCAAUCUGACCAACGGUUUGAACUACAAAACACUUUAAAUUUUAUACUUUAGAUGGAAUCUUUGUUGACAUCAGUUUUUUUUUGCAUGCAGCGUUGUUUAUUAGGGGAAAGACAUAAAAUUACACACGCAUGGAGCGGGUCUCUGCGUCUCCGCGCCUACAUGCAUGAUUAGUGAAAAUUAAUUGUUUUGCUUUGGGAGGUUGCCGGAGGGAGGAUUGUUAGGACCUUUUGCAAACGAGCGACUAGUUUGGAUCUAUCGCUAAUAGUCCGUACGUAUGGACAUUAGCACAGUCCUUAGUAAAAAAAACUUACUAUUUUCUGCUAGUAGAGAAUUUACCAUUUCUAUAUGUUUUGGGGAAUUUACCAUUUCGUUAUUGUUUUAGGGAAUUUACCAUUUCUAGUUUGCACGGAGCAUUUCCCUCAUUCGCAAAAAAGAGGAAGCAUUUCCCUAAUAGAGAAAAAAAAACUUUGCACGAAGCACGACUUUGCCUCCUCCUCGAUCCCACAUCCCCCACACUCGCAUCAAGUGAAGUGCAGCAGCCCAGCCCAUUCCCGUAGGUGACCAGCCACCCACACGCGACACCAGUCCUCCCAUCGAGGCGAAAAAGGAAAAACCAAACUCCACUUCUCUCCCAAUCCCAAAAGAAGACAAGAAAAGGGGGGAAAACUGUCUUCCACCUCCGAAUUCGCCCCCCAAACCAAAACCAAAUCCCUCGCCAAAAUCCCCAAUCCCCGGCCAUGGCGACGAGCCUGCCUCCGCCGCUCCGCUCCCGCCGGACGCUGGAGCUGCCAGACGACGUCAUGGAGGAGAUCUUCCUCCGCCUACCGGCGGACAACCCCGCCAGCCUCGCCCGCGUCGCCGGCGGCUGCAAGAGCUGGCUGGCCAUGGUCUCGGACCCCAACUUCGCCCCCGCCUACCGCAGGCUCCGCGACGCGCCGCCCAUGCUGGGCUUCCUCUACAACUACCGCUACACCGACGAGGGAGCGCCCUACUGGACGUCCCACUUCCGCGCCGCCGCGGCCCUCCCCCCGCGGGUGCGCCGCGACCGCAAGCACUGGCGCGCUCUCGACUCCCGCCACGGCCUCGUCCUCUUCGACACCCCUGAGAGUGACGGCCACCUCGUCGUCUCCGACCUCGUCACCGGCGAGCACUGGAAAAUCGACGGCCACAUCACGUUCCCGGAUGCGUGUAAUGCUACAGUGCUCUGCGCCAGGGACGGAUGUGACCACCGUGAUUGCCAUGGCGGCCCUUUCCUCGUGGCCUGCGUGGACUCCGUCGUGGCAGGGGACCGGAGGAUAACCUGCGCCAUGUUCUACUCAUCAGUUACUGGCAAGUGGAUCGACCCGAUCUUCGUCGAGCAACCCAAUGUCAUCGAUGCCAGGGGGCACAGUGCUGUGCUGGGAAAUAAGGUCUAUGUCCCCUGUGUGAAGGAUGGCAGUGUCGUGGAGUACAACACGCGUGAGAACAAGCUAUCUGUGAUCAAGGCGCCAUUUGAGGUCCAGGACCAGAAGAUUGAGCUCAUGGGGGUGGAGGACGGAAUGCUGCUGUUUGCGUCUGUGGUGAAGCCUAGACUCUACCUAUGGUCAAUGGAGGCUGGUCCCAGAGGAGCUGCGGGACGGGCACAAAGCAGGUUCAUCGAGCUCGGGCCGUUGCUCCCUCGUCCUGUCCUCGUGGACAACACCGAAGUGUCGGCGGUUGGUUUUGCGGAAGGUGUUGGUGUCAUCUUCAUCAAGACAAAAGUUGGGUUGUACACAAUUCAUCUCAAAUCAAAACAAAGCAACCAGGUGCACCGAGGGUACAUCAAUAAGGUCAUGCCCUACAUGAGCUUCUACACUGGAGGUACAGAUAACUGUUUCCAAGCAUGCACAUUAAGUCCAGUACGCUAAGCACACCAUCAACUACUAAUAUUGCUUGUAGCUUAGAUAGUUGAAUAAUUUAAGUCUGAGAGUUCCUAGUGUGGUAUGUGAUUCCUAAACGUCCGUGAGUAUGUAGAGUUUUUCUUCUAUUUUUCUGCAUAACUAGAUAGAUAUCUGUAUGUGGGUCUGCUUGCAUUUUUCUGGUUUCUGGGUGAUUUGUAGAGAUUAGGAAGUAGGAACCCAUUCUUUGUGCUGUUGUACUAUUCAUUCAGGUGUUGAGUCGCGCUGCAGACCUGGGUGAUUAUUUAUAGGCAACCGUGAGUAACCCGUGAUUUUUCAUGCCAUGUUGUCUUUGUGUCUAUAGAAGCCAGAGAAAAAAGAUACAGUAGUCGUACGGAAUUGGCGUUGGGCAGAUUAACUAGGCGGCUGACUAAAGAAUUCCUUGGUGGAUGUAUAAUUGGUGAUCUAUUUUUCAUUGGCUGCGCUAUUAUAUGUUAUGCUGAUUGGCUUUACUAGCCGGUAAGCCUUAGUUAAACUUUGCUGAUCAUGUCCUAAGAUUGGCAAGAGCAGUUUGCAAAUCAGUCAAGUGAUCAGAGCUUUGCUGUGAGCCAAGAGGUCUCUGGCACCCAAACAUCCUUGUGGUGUUUUGGUUAGGAUAACGGAUAACCUAGUCCCAGGCAUGCACUAGGCACUUGCCCGCGAGCCUGCCCAAAUGAAAGAUACGGUUUCAUUGUAGCAUUGUAGGUCCAGAUCGAAACGUGUUGUGAUGUGGAUGCUUCCUGCUAUCACUUUUGUUUAUUUGAACAGCUAUAAAUGAAAUGAUUUUGAGGGCACUCUCUAGUCAUCAUGUCAUCUUAUGAAGCCUUGUCUCUUAUGGUGCAGCAUGGGAGCCUUUGCCAGCAUCUGAUGAAGCUUAACGCGCAGUUGUUGAUGCUACAAUGAUAUAACCAAAUGGCGCCAGGACUUGGGUUUACUUUUUCUGCCCAGGAAGAAUUUGAAGUGAACUUGAGCCUCAUUCACUGCCGGUUGUGUUGAACAGUUUGGUUAGAGUGGAUGCGCUUUUGUCCUAUUUGUGCUUGUGCCAUAAACUUGAGUUUGUUUGUUCGUCCGAGUUGGGUGCGGCUCAAACUGUCCGUCAGGAGAAAUUUUAGCGAUCAGUUGACGGUUUUGUGGCAUGAAUUGGUGCAGAUUUCUUCUUCUCUAUCUUUGGCUGUUAGAGAUGACGUUGUUGUCUUGAAAAUGCACUCUACUGAGAUUUUUUAUGUGGAAUCUCUCUAUUCUAUGCAGUAAGAAAUUUCAGGGGAGCUAAAAUCCCCACCAGGA